CCUUAGGAGCUUGUCAUGCAGUUAAAAUCAAGAUUCACUUGCACGUUCACUCAUACAUGCUGCUUCUACUCCGGAAGUACGCAUCCACAUACAUCCACUCAUUUCCAUCUCCGCAUUCACCCAAAAUUAUUCUACUCCUAUCUAGGAGAGAAUAGCCAAAAACAUUAUCCUAUCCGUGUUAUUCCUCGUGAAAUAAAUGCUCGAGAUAUUUUGGUUACUACCACUUGCUACAUUAUUCUAGGAGGGUGAGUGCUCUAUAAAAAAAAGUGAAAACGAGGAAAUAAAAAGGGGCAAGUGCCCGGAACCUCGAAGAAAAAAAAAGUGAGACGAGAGGUAAAAAUGGACAAGUGUCCGAUAGUAGAAUUAGGGGUACAAGAUACCCACCUGAGAGAAAAGAAAAAGAAAAUGUAAGCAUCUCAUUCCAUCUCAAAAAGCUUCAAAGUGCAAGAAAGGUAUGUAUCCCCUUAAAAGAGCAAAAGUAGAAUUAGACUUUCACCAUUGUUUUCACCAUUAUCACCAUCAUCACCAUACACCAUUCAUUCGCCACACAUGCACAUCUUGAUAUUGACUUAUUGACUUGUUUCUCUAGAUCCAUGGUUUGACUACGCAAUAAAUGUCUUGUAAGUAUGUAUUAGCUGUCUCCCACCUAUGAGCUCCAGAUAUCAAAACCUUAUUAGAGUAGGGUGAGAGAGAAGGCAAUGUCACUAUACCUCAUACCAAAAAUACCACAUACUUUGAGAGAAGGCAUAUACCAUCACUGCCUUGGUAAGGAUCCAGAAAUACUACAAAAGAGAGACUAGAGAGAGUCAUACAGGAAUCUCUGAGUUUUAUUUUGAAAAUCUACAAAAACUCCAGAGCUAUAGUUGAUCAAGAACAAGAGACAUGGCGCUUGACUUGACCAUUCUAUCUUUUAACUGCUCAAGGCACAAGUGACGGUUGCAAGCCCCAUGGUGGAAGGUAAUAUGAGUAAGUUCAAAUCUUAACAGUCUACCCUAACCGAGAGAUGAGAUCUUGUUUGAACGCAUGUGUACCUUUAAGGCAUGAAACCACUGCAGAAACUCUUGAGUUCAUCCUUGCUCAGGGAUGAGCAAGAGGUGAGCUUGGGGGAGUUCUUGACGGUCCUUAAGUAUCUAAUUUAAUUAUUAAAAAUAAACAAAGAAAAGGAUCCAAAUGCAACCAACACCCAGACUUAGGAUUUUAUCUGACAGAAUUCCACAAGUUUUGGUGUUUGUCUAUUUCUGCAGGGGUUAUCAGGAAAUAUGGAGGAAAGGCCCACACGUUAGGUUUACAUAGAGAUAUUAAUGUGUGCGCCAGUUUUCUAUCAUCUAGAAGACUCCAGAAGCCACGCGAACGAACGGGAAGCCGAGCGGGCCCGGGGACAGGGCGCGCGCCCUUCCCCCUUGGGUGCCCACCCUGCUAUAGGAACCAAUCAGGCUCUGCCUCAUGGAUCAUGCUCUACCGACCUAAAGGAUCAAGGAAAACCGUGCGAUUAAGGUCAGUUUGAUCCGACGGCCCACAUUCAUUUUGAGGGGCUAUAUAAGCAGGCCCCCUGGCCCCUGGAGGAGAUACCUCUUCAUCCUUAUUCAUUAUUCAUAGACAGAGCAAAAGCAAGGGUUUGGACAUGAGAGCUCUCCUCUCAACUCUAAACUAGAGUAGAUCUAGAUAGUAGCGAGAUGGAGAGCGAGGGAGGAUUGGAGGAGAGGCCAGCCUGUCGGUUCUUCCUCCGGUUGUACUUCGCCAUGAUCAAGCUCUAAUCAAGCUUGCUCCUAGGAUGACUCUGGUAAUCUACUUCUAUUUCAUUAUUCAACUACUAUCCAUGUAUGUUCUGGUUCACAACUCUUUUGAGUACUUUGAUCUAUAGGAAGCUAUAGGUGAGGGUUGUAGUAUAGGUGUAAGCGUGGUGCUUAGACUUAGAUUACUUGUGGAUAUCCCCUAUCUAACCGGAUCGUGUGGUAGGCCUCGUAAGUGAUAGCUAUGUUGGUCCUCUGUAGUCCACCUCCCGUUAGCAGGACUGGUUGGGUUUAUCGGCCUAUGGAUAAGCAUCCUUUGUGCUGUAUUCUUAUCACGUGGUUCGUCCCAAACAUAGACAUACCCCUUUGAAGUAGAGAAACCAUAGUUAUUCUCUUUAUUCUCCUAUUAUCGCCCAUAUAUUAGAUUGCUCUACUCUAUAUUCCCCCAUUAUCAUUUUACCUUUAAUAUUGUUUUUAUUCAAUUCUACCAUCUUUCCUAUUUACACCUAUCUAUCUAUCUUGGUUAAGUUAGAGCGUAGUUGGUUCUCCCGUUUCCCUGUGGAUACGAUAAAACCUUUAACCGGGUAAAAGCUACAACGGUAUCCGUGCGCUUGCGGAUUUAUCUGUGUGCGUAUAAAUACCAUAGUACACUCUAGUGCCAUGCUGGGGAUGACAACUUAGUAUUCAAGUUGUGUUAGCAAGUGUCAACAGUGGGUCUAGCCAUAUCUGAAUGUUAGCCUAUAGCCUAUGCACCGCGCUUAAUCAUAUUCCUAAUAUCUUUACCUGAGCUCUAGAGUAGAGACACCCUAACUAGAUGAUAGAGCAAUUACUAGCUUGAACAACUAACACUAAACUAACUAAGCACUUAUCCUAACACAAUCAAACACCUAAGCUCACUAAUGAUAUGCUCACUAUAAACUAAGUACUUGAAAGGUAAAUAGCACUCAAAAUACCAAAAGUAAAUGAUAAAUAAAUGAGUACUAAGAUACCAGAAGUGGAGAGGAGGAAGACUCUUCCUAUCUCCAAGUUGAGCUAUGCCUAGCUACUCUUCCCGCUUACAACUUUGAGCUACUAGAGUGAAGCUAAGCUAGGGGCAGAGAUGCUAUGGAGCUAAGCUGGCUACCUAAGCAAGGGAGCUACUACACUAACACUUGCUCUAAGCUCUCUGAUAUGCUUGUGCCUCUUCUUGGGUUCUAUUCUUUUCUCCCCUCCUCAAAAUAGUUGGCGAGGGGGUCCUUUUAUAGGCCAGGGAGUCUUCUGGUGGAAGGAGCUCGCAGGGGAUUGAAGAGGAGUGGCGGGCGCCAGGAUGGGGUGGCGGGCACCACUCCCCUUGGUGAGCACCGGGAAUCUAUGGCGGGGGCCACCCCUGGUUAACCGCCUUUGCUCCCGCCGGUACAGAUGAUCUCCCAAGCUUGGUUUUAGGGAAGACAUGUGUCGGAAUAAUGUUUUGUCACAUGUUUAUAAACCACAAUCCAUGUGACAUUAGAUCAAACUUGAUGUGGCUUUGGACGCCUUAGAUGGACUCCUGGAAGUGUCAAGCGGAUCAGUGACGUGGCUGGCCACACUAGGGGUGGUGCCCGCUAGGUGGGCCCGGCUACCGCGACCUUGGCAUGGCACCCACCAUCCUGGUUGCCCUAUGUGGCACCAGGUGUGGUGGGUUGCCUUCCAAGUGGGUCCAUUUCGCUCUUUUUCCUAUUAUUUCCUACAUACAAAUAAAUUUCUAUGUACAUGUGAAACUAGGUAAGUAAUAAACAAAGUAUGCACUUGUUCAUGUUGAUUUAUCAUGUUUUUGGAUGAACUGUUGAUGGUCAAAACAGGCGUUAAGGACCAUUAACAUGCACUUAGAUUGUGUUAGAAGGGAAACCACUUCACUAGUCCACAUCUUGAAGGUUUUCCAAGGACAAGCUUUGUGUCCUAAAACAAGCACUAUUUAGGCCAUGACAUGAGUGUUCACCUUUUUACUACGCAACCCGUGUUAAUUGAGCAGAGAAUUAUAAUUGUGAAAAUAUUCUUUCAGGUCUUCUUGUCACCAACCAUUUCAAGAUUAGAGCAAAAAAAAUCGAAUGAGAGAUAGAUGCAAGGUAUAUCCAACUAAUCAGUAUGCAACAUUGAAUUACUUUCUUCCAAUCUUGAUUUUUGCAAAAGUCAAGCUUGUGGGAUAUGCUUCCAUAGAUACAUCGCUUGCCAUGUUGCUACAUCAUCUUGGUUGUCCCUACCUUUAAGAUAUGCUCAAUUUGGUAAAUAAUAAUCAUGCUCUUUCAUCACUGUUUGAGUAAAUCUCUAUAAUGCUCUCAUGCUACGUUUGUUUGCUAUAGUUUAUGUUUAGGUUUGGAGUAGUUUUAUCCAUCUCUUAAAUUAAGCAUGGUGCCUAGUUUAGGAGUGGUGAUCUUACUCUCAAAGGCUUUUAAUUACACAUGGUUAAAACGCCUUCUUGAAUCAAAUUAGACAUGGUGUCUAUGUUGAUUUUUGAGCUGAUAGUAUGCUGUAGUAGAUAUUGGAAUAUUUUUGUUGGACUAACCCUUGCGGGAAAACUACCAAAUCCAAAUUGGGAAAGUCCUAAGAUGAGCUCACACUAGAGAUGAAGAGAGACACAACAAUUUUGAACAAAGGAAACAUAACUCAUUUAUAGCCAAGGAGAAAGAAGAAGGGUACCACAAAAUAUGACCCACAAUCAAAACACUCACUUCAUGGAGUUGCAUUCUCUUGUCAACCACUAAUUAUGAGGAAUCAAGAAAAGAUUGACAAGAGAAGAGCAUGUAAUGUUCUGCAAUCUCACUUCUCAGGUCGGGCAGAUGAGACAUGAGGAAGAAAGGUCAACCUCUCUAGAUGAUCCAACCAAGUUCUUCCACAUCUCAUUAUCCCAUCGCUCCACACAAUGGUUUCCAAUCUCUAAAGUCACUAUUGUUUUAUUUCUAUGAGUUUGAGAUGUCUAUAGUUGAGAAUCAAAACAUAAGGUGAGAAAAUAAAAUCAAUCCUUUAGAAAGAAGAAAUUGUGAAUAAUAAAUGCGCUAUGCUAAAUAUGCUCAAGCAAGUUCCUUUAUGUAGUAUAGAAAGUGACCCUUAGUUAUGUUACAACAAUGCCCUUGUCGUUACUUGUAUAUUCCUUCAGUUAUGUGUUGUCUGCUAAUGAUUUGCUUGGAUAAAAUAAUCAGUAGAGCUAAAGGUCCAAGCACAAAUUAGACAGAGAACAAAUAAUGACAAAGGAAAGGAGUACGACAAUGGAGAUAAUCUUUCCAUGAACAAGACUCGUUACUUGCCAGGCAAGGAAAGUUUCCACAAGAUGUUAUGGCUUCAACAUGCUUCAACACUAUAGGACACAUCUUGAGCAAGGUUAAGGAAUCUUCCCCAAUUCCUACAAGAGAAGAUUCUAGACCUAUGAACAUGCACACUGAGCAAAAAUGUUGCAAGCUCCUACAACUAGUACUGCACACUUCAAACUGCUGGAAGAGUAGUGAACACGGGUGACACCAUCUCAAGAUGUGCAACUAUCACGGUCUCCAUCUUUGUGGCCAGGUAAAGCACCUAAAGAAUUAACAUGGUAAGAGGUCUGGUUCAGAGGACCUAAAACAACGAAUACCAUACCAAGAGGUAAAUUGGUAGUUAUCAAUAUUUUCUUUUUAGCAUUGCAUAAUUUUCCUUCAGCAUAUUUACUUUCCCUUAAAUGCAUGAUUAGUUGCACAUCCACAUUAUCAUUUUUGUAUUAGAAAAAGAAAAUAAAAAUAUGUCAUGCAUUGCAUCUAGAAAAUGCCAAGCCCCAUGUGAAUAAUUAUGUGGUGCGACAACCCACAAAGAUAUCUAUGGUGGUAGCCUAAAAAUAAGUUUUCAUCUUAGUGCAUUUUCAGCAUACCAUGAAAUAUAAAAGAUCAAAAGUAUUAAAGUUCCUGCUAAAAGAUAAAUAUAUUAAGAAGGUUCUAGACAACCAAGGCUUAGAGGUUAUACCACUAACACUAAAUUAGUUCCACAAGCUUUGCUGUCUAUUUGAGCUUCACAUAAUUUGAAGGAUCAAGAACAGCUAAGAGGCAGAAGGACAUUCUAUCCCCUAUCAGAGUGCUGUCUCAAACAACCAUCAUCCCUAAGACUCCAGAGGACCAGUACACCUUCACUGCAACUCAGCAACGCCAACGGACUUUGUCAACAUCCACUUGGGGGAGAGCACCCCCCAUAUCCAGGUAAGUACUACUAGCUUUUUUUUUAUUUAGUGUGCUAUGUUCAUCCGAAACAAAUAAAAAGAUGCAUAAACAUAGAAAACCCAAAUAAAUAUUUCCUUAUCUAUAUUUACCUUAUUGGUUGAUAUUAAAUUUGCUAAAUAAAAUUUAGGAGAGUAUUUGAAGAAGUUGCCUAGUAAAAUAAACCUUACAGAGUAAGCCCAUAUAUGGAAAUGAUGAAUAGUAGCUCUACCGUAAUUCCUUUCAAGUACCUAGUUUUCAACCUCGAACUAUCCCAAGUACGCUCGAACUUAUCUAUAUUUACAACUGUUUUGAUUUGAGGUCUGCUCUGAACCUGAAACUUGUGGGUAGCAAAUGCUUGAUCUAAGUCUAGGUAGUUGACAGAUAUGAUAUAGGGAGGUUUUGAGUUGCCGUCCAUCUUGUUCCUAGAGAUACUAGCGUUCUAGAGAAUUUACCUUUGAAAAUCUUGAAUCACUACAUGAUGAGUUUUUGUAUGAUGAGAGUUCAAUAUUCGUAGCACAUCCAAAUAUACAUGCUUACUAGAUUAGGAAAGCCAUCCACUUCCAUAUAUGCUUGUAGGCAUUGCGGAAGUUAAGCUGUGUUGACCCAAAGGAAUAAGUCAUGCAGUUAAUGUCAAUAUUGUGUGCUCUCCAUCCAUUGAUCUAUGCUGCUUCUAUCCUCAAAAGUACGCCCCCAUUCAUGUUGUGCUACUUCUAUUCCUAGAAGUACCACCCAUAUAUAUACAUAUUCCAUGCAUAUUGUGUUGUUUUUACCCUGGAAACACACACCUAUGCUGCUCCCACCUUGAGAGUACGCAUUGCUCUAUUCACAUGCAUAUACUCACAAAAUGUUCUGCUCCUACACUGGGUGUGAACACCAAAAAUAUAUGUCACCAUGCUAUUCUUUUUCCAUCAUCCAAUAAAGCUCCAAUUACUUCAGUUAAUACUCCCUACUGAUACAUAAAUCAAGUGGCUUGGGUAUUCUUAAAAAAAAGAAGAGAGGACAAAUGUCCCAAGAAAGAAAAAAAAUGAUGAAUAAGCAGCCCAAGUACUCCCCAAAGUUUCUAGAGUUUAGAUAAGGGAGGUAUAUAUCCCCAAGGAGCAAAUGUAGAAUUACAUCUCUACUAUUGGCCCUCAUAAUCAUUUCCUCCUCAUCAUCACCAUUCAUAUCACUUAAUUUAUUCCCCUCAUCCACAUGCACAUAUGAAUUGAUUGUAUAACUAAUUUCUCUAGAUCCAUGUCACACCCGGUUUUAAAGAACAAAACCAGGCUAGCCAUAUGUGUGCCCAGGAAGUCCACACAUAAAACAACAGAAAGGAAUAGUAUCAGAAACAAUGUUAUAUAGCGAAAACAUACUUAUAAUUAACACUUACAUCAGAGAAUCGCGAAACGGUAACUAAUCUUUAGGAUCAAUCUUCACAGGGACGGCUGACUGGGGGUAACAUAUGCCUAGUACUUCUUCUAUUCUGAGAACAUCCUUCAUGAUUCCAUCGCUCUUCUGAUCAACUCUUACUAGUAAACUGGAGUGGUGGGAAAUAGCAAGAGUGAGCACAUGUCGUACUCAACAAGUAUAACCAGGGGUUCAUGAGGCUCAAACAGGUGACACUGGUUUGACUGCAUUUAGCUUUUAAUAGUGGAUAGCAUAUUCUUAAUUAAAUAGCAAAUGUCAAGGUAGCACAAAUAAUCCAUUAAUCCCAUGAUCAAGUGUAAGCAUAAUUAAUCCAUAGCAUAAACGAUAAUCAAAUAAACAUAACAACUUAAUAAGCUCAUCGUCGGCGCAGCAAGAACCCCCAAGGCCGCUCAUAACCGUGAGCACGGCUAGUAUACCAGUUUUACACUCUGCAGAGGUUGUACAUCUUUACCCAUGAGUCAUGAUUUACCCUUUCGCCCGAGGUGAUCAGCCUCUUAACCCACUUCCAAGGAAGGUCGGCAGGGAUCACUAUGAAGCCUUUCAAAAGUUCGUCUAACAUGUUAGGGCCGCAAGGUUUCCUUUGCGCGCAGAUAUAGAUACCCCCCUUCCGAAUGGCACAAUGACGCGCAGCCUAUACACGUAGGGACAGGGGUUCGCACUAUACCCAAAACGUUUCAGCCCCUCCACCCUUUCGGGUAACCUCUAACAAGCUAGAAAAGGUCUUCAUACUGAGCUAAAGCCAGAGCCAUUAUAGGCCUCAUGGUGGCACUGUUGUUCCGGUGAUCACUUACAGACAAGAUCUUAUAUAGUUAUUUGUCAUCAUUUAACGUUCAUUGCAUAGCUAUUAAUUAUCUUACAAGAUCAUGGAUUAUAUCAAGCACUAGCAUAUCUACAACCAAUGCAUAUCAAGUAGGUAACAAGGAAUACAGGUAACAAUCAUCUAUGAUUUUGCUAAGAUCGACAAGGUGAUAGCAUGCAUAUGAUAUAUAUGUAUUUAUAAGUGAAUAGGUAGCAAGGAUGAUCCCAAGUUAUACUUGCCUUAAACUUGCUCAAUUCUCACACCAUGAGCCUUCAGUCAUCAUCUUCUGAUCAUCAGCACCCAUAAACAGUUCUCGUCUACUCGUAGCAAGCACCACACAUAGACAAACAUACAAGCAACAAACAAAAAUAACUAAGAACAGUACACCGCACAAGUUUAAGCAACAUACUAUAUGAGAGCUUAUUUAUGAGUAUAUUAUAUGUAGCGUAUUUAAAUUAAUUAUAUUAUAAUUAGAAAUAUAUAAGUUAAUAUUAAUCAAAUUAAUAUUUAUUUAUAAAAAUACGAUGUUUACUUUCAUUGCUUUUAACUAUAAAAUUGGUUACAUAGAUAUUAAUUAAUUUAAUGUUUAGCUAUAUAUAGAAGACAUAUAGAAGACAUGAAGCAAGUUAAAUAUCGUUGCCAUACAUUAGGGUAUAUUGAUUCAGACGCGACGCACAAAGAAUAUAUUGAUUGAAGUGUGGCUAAACGAUUAAGUUAUGAUGAAAAUAAGACAACGACAAUGUUCAUCAUAUUUAACUAUACGGAGAUUCAAGGCAUCCUGAGCAGAUCCACGAUAUAUAUGAAAGAUAUAAUUUCAAGAUUGAGGAAUAAAUAGAGAAUAAUGAUUUAUGAUGUAUGAAUGACAAGGCAUGACAUCAGCACAAUAUUUGAUCAAUAAAAAUAGCGGACAGGAAGAUAUGCUUCUCACCUGAAAGCUAGCGCCAGCAAUUUCCAAACAAGCUGCUCGUCAAACAUCAAGAAGGGUGGUGGCCAGCAUAAGCUAGUAUUAAGCAGCCAAGGAGAAGAUGUUUAUAUUAGUUUCAAUUCCAAGGGCAAAGAAGUACACCCACGGUGAAGAACUGACGACUUACCCCUGCAAGAUUCAGAGCGGAGCAGAACACACACGGCAUGGAUGGCCAGACGCUGGAGCGGCUCUACAACACUAAGCUCGGAGGAUCGGUUAUGCCUGCGAUGAGGUUGCAACAUCACGCAAGCUCCCCUAUGGAAACACCAUGGAUCAGAGAAUUUGCGAGAGGACGACACGGAGAGAGCGAGAUUGUGUUGCUGCAGCAAGCUUCAUGUUCGGCAACGAUAGAACACGAAGGCAGGAAUACAGGAUCGAACAACAAUACAAGAUCACUUGGAACUAGACAAGCCUCACCUCUCCAGCAAAGAACGACAGCACAUGACUUGCUCAUGGCACUCAAUCGAUUUCUCCAUACUUUGAUCGGCGUCGACUUUUCAAUGUCACAGGAACGAAGGGCAGAUGCGCCGGGGACAGGAGAAUUUUGGCGGCGGCUCAGAUAUAUCAAAGAGAGAAACGUAGGCAUGUAUUUAUAUGUGCUAGGUUAAAAGCCAAGUUGGAAGAGGAUUAUAUUUUAUUAUUUUCGGAAUUAAUUAAUCAUGAGAUUAACAUAAUUUCACAAAAGUCCAUCAAUUUAAUUCAGAACAAUUUGAAAAUUGGCAUUUUCCUAUAACUUAAUUUUCACUAACUCAAACUAAACUUGAUAAAUUUUAUCCAAAUAUUAAAUUCAUUUUAUAUUUGUUUAGUGUUUUCUAUGCACAACCCAAACUCAAAAAUUUGGGGUGUGACAAUCCAUGAUUUAACUAUACAACAUUUGUCUGCAAGUAUGUUUGAGUUAUCUCCCCACCUAUGAGGUCCACAUAAGCCUAUUAGAUGUAGGGUGAGAGAGAGAAUGCAAAAUGCCACUAUGCCUUAAUUCUAGAAAUACCACAAAUUAUGAGAGUAGAGAGAAGGCAUACAUCAUUGAUGCCUUGGUAAGGAUCUAGAAAUACCACAAAUGAGACUUGAAAGGGUCAUACAAGGAAACCCUAAGUUUUAUUUGAAAAUCUUGCAAAAACUCUAGAAUAAUUGUCGAUCAAAGAGCGAGAAAUAUAGCACUUAAGUUGACUGUUCCGUCUUUCAACUACUCAAGACCCAAGUGACGAUUACAAGCCCAUGGUGGAAUGUAAUAUUUGCAAUUUUCGAGUCAAAAUAGUUCACUCUAAUCUGGAGGAGAGUUCUUGUUUGAACGCAUAUGUACUUUUUAGGCAUGAAAGUAUUGUAGCAACUCCUGAUCCAUCCGAGUUUAUCUUUGCUUAGAGACAAGCAAAGUGUAAGCUGGGUGAGUUCUUGACAGUAGAUAACUCCUAAGUUUAACCGUCAACUAAACAUGAAAAUGGACCUAUAUGCAAACACCUAGUAGAUAUAGGGUUAUCACUAACAGAAUUCCAAGAGUUUUGGUGAAUGUCUAUUUCUAUAGGGUGUCAGCUGAAAACAACCAAAUAUGGUCCAUAUGUCAUAUUUAAAUAGAGAGAAUACCGAGAACCGCAACUCAAGAACAAUCUAGAAGACUCGAGGAGGCUCUAGACUAAAUGGGAGCCCGAACCGGCUCGGGAGCGGGGCGGUCGCCCAAGGGUAGGGUCGGGCACCCGAGUAGCUCCUCCAAUCACCUUCAACCUCAUGGAUCUUGCCACCACCGUAUUUGAGGAGUAAUCUUGGCCAUCCAUUAAGGUCAGUUUGAUCUAAGGAUUGUGGUGCCUCCUAGGGGGCUAUAUAAGUAGACCCCUGCCGACUAGAUCAGGGCCAAUUAUGGAACCCUAAUUCAUAUUUUCCAGAGAGAAUUAGCGAGAGAAGGGUACUGUUGACACUAGCUAACACCACUUAGAUACUAGGUUGUCAUCCCCAGCAUGGUGCCAGAGUGUACAAAGGUAUUUAUAAAUGUAAAGGCUCUCUAGAAAAUAAUCUAUUCUGUCCGCAAGCGCACAGAUAAAACACCUCAUUGUAGCAUUUCACCAGGUAAGUAUUCCAGGUAUCGUUAUUUAUAAUUUUGCUUAGGAGAAAAAGGACUAAAUGGAGAUAAGGAUAAAUCUAUCAAGGCAUAGACUAGAGAUAAGCUUGCAAGAACAUGAUUACUAAUGAGGAACUCAUCACACAGUCACUUACUUUGGCAGGGGUUAAGCCAUAAUAACAAUGAUAAUGAAAUAUAAGCUCAUAGGUAAAUAACACAGCGAUUAGAAAAUGGACUACUCCUCAGAUAUGUAAGGUGACGUCGGAUUAGCCAGAGAAUGGAUUCUAAGUUAUCUACUAUCUACUAAGUCACAAUCUACUCUAGCUAUCUACAAGAUCAUAUAUAGCAUAAAAGACUCUUUAUUUAUGUAUAAGGAACAUUGCUAAAGCAAAUCAGAACAUCGUAAGACUUACUCUGCAAUACAAAUUCUGCCUGUCCUAUCAACGGAGGGUGGACUAUAUAAGAAUCAACGAAGCUGUCACUAUCGCGAACUACCACACGACCCGGCCAAUAGGAUACAUUUGCAGGUAAAUAACAUGUAAGCACCACACCCACAUGUGAUCUACCACUUAACUCCCGCGCGUCAAGAGCUAAGCGCUUUGCAAACUUAUACAUAAACUCAUUAUCAAUCAUAACUACAUCAAAUAUAGAACUAGAGCAAACUAAGAGCAUAAUAAAUAGAGACAUAAUACAAUUAGAACAAAGUAUUAGAGAAAGAUAUGAAAUAAUACCAAUCUUUAUUAGCGAAGAUCCGAAUCCAGAGCACUAGGCUCUACUUCUAUAAUUGAUAUAUAAUCAAUCCUCUAAACUUGAAGGAUUAGGGAGUAGCUAAUUCUAAUUCUCUGUGGGAGAGAUGUCUAAACCCUAACUUUGAUGGCUACCUGUGAUAAUGAUUUCUCCUCCCUCCCCCUAGGGUGGAGAGGCCUUGAUUACAUAGUCCUUUCAAGUGAAUUUGGGCCGUCGGAUCAAACCGACAUUGAUCGCACGGUUUUCCUUGAUCCUUUAGGUUGGUGAAGCAUAAUCCACGAGACGGGUCCUGAUUGGACUCCUGGCCAGGGCGGGCACCCAAGGUGGGAGGGCGGGCGCCCUGCCCCCGAGCCCGUCUGGUCUCCCGUUCGUUCCCGUGGCUUCUGGACUCUUCUAGAUUGAGGAAAAUUGCGCGGCACGUAAUUAUCUCGAUGUAAACAUGACAUGUGGGCCUUCUCUCCAUAUUUUCUGAUAACCCCCUGCAGAAAUAGAUAAACACCAAAGUUCGUGGAAUUCUGUCAGAUAAAACCCUAAUUCUAGAUGUUUGUUUCAUUUGGAUCCUUUCCCAUGUUUAAUUGAUGGUUAAAUUUAGUACUUAAGGACCGUCCACAGGUACCUCAAAUGGAUCUAUCUCUUUAGGGGUUUUAGCAAUUAGAGAGAUUGGGAGAGUAUAGGGUGGAGAUAGAAGUGGAGGAAGCCCAGCCUGUCGGUAUCUUCUUUCUUAUAUAUGCGGGAUCAAGUGUCCUAACUUGAGGCUUGGUUCUAGAAUCAUUCGGCAAUUUAACUUCUAACACUGGUAAGUUUAUUGUUCUUAUUCUUCUUUGGUUUAUGGGUUUACUCUAUUCACUUACACUCGGGUAUAGAGUCUUAUCCAUAGCAUAAGCAUGGUGCUUGGGCUAGGAAUACUUGUAGAUGCUACCUAUUUGGCUGGAUUUGUGGUAACAUUAGGGGGAAGUGAUAGUCCCCUUGGUGUCUCUGUAAUCCACAUCCCGUUAGGAGGUAAGGUAGGAAAUAGUGUGCUGGGGUUAAACAUCCUCUGUGGUGUCUCUUUUCCUUAGGUGCCCCCUUAGAAUAAUAAGUACACAGCUUAUCGUAGGUUAGAGAAAAACUAACGAAAGAAUUCUCUCUAUAUCGCUCAUAUCUCACUAUCUUGUCUGUAGGCUAGGGGUUAAGUAUAGAUUUGGGUUAGUUAGAUGCAUGCUUUCUCCUAGUGGAUAAAUAAAUAACAAUACUUUGGAAUAUCUCCUAGGUGAAGUGCUCACCGAUAUCAAUGCGCUUGUGGAUUAUUUCUCUAUGUGAGUAUCUAAUAUCAACAAGGUACUUGAUACUAAAUUGAUGAUAGACUUUCCAGAUUCCAUCUUAUUAAUAUUUCUAGGCUAUGCUUUCCCUGGCAAUGGCGCCAGAAAUGCUUGUUGGUAGUUCUUAACAUCGGUACCCAAUAUUGGUAACAACGCUAUAGAGGCCUAUAGGUUAUUACUUAUGUCUAUCAAAUUAUUCCGCAAGCAUAUAGAAUAUAAUGAUGAAGCACUUCACCGAGGAUGAGUAUUCUAUGGUAUCGUUAUUUGUUUUAUCCCAAGGGAAAGUGUUAGCUAGCAAUGCUAAUAAGAAAGAGAUCUCUAUCUCAAUUUAGAACAACUAGUGUAGAGGUUGAGAUAAUCGAUAGGUAGAAGGAAGGUGAUGAUUCAAAGAUAAUUGAUUAAGAUAACUAAAAGAUAACUAGUGUAGAUAGCUAGGUGGGAGGACAACAAGUGAGAAAGAUUCAUGUGAUUCUAACUCUACUUCCGUGUUCUAAUAUGAUCAAACAGUAGGAACAACUAGGAUUGCUACCUUACUACUUGGUUGCUAGGGAUAGCCAAGAAAGUAGGAGACAAAACCCCUACUAAAGCGAUUAUACUCUUAUGGAUGCCUUGCAUUUUAAGAACUAGUUUGUACACAAGGAAAAAUCCUAAUGCUUAGCAUGACCUGUCACGUCCUGCUAGUGUGCUCCUACUAUGGGUUCAAACCAGCGGCUACCAAUGGUGAGCCUUAGCCUAAGCACCGCGCUUUGAAAUUGGAAAAUGUGAAUUUUUAAAUUUAUCUGAAUUAACUUGAUGGGAUUUGUUGAUGUGGUGUGAUGCUUGCUUAUUGCUUAACUUUGUGUUGUGAGUGGGUAAAAUUUAGAGUGUGUUUAGUAAGUCAUUGUUUUGUAUCCGGCGUGUCUCUAUCUUUUUCUAUAAUCAAGUCUCCUCUUUCUUGAUCUUAAUCUUUUCAUCUUUUCAUUUGAAGUAUUUUAUAUCCUAUUCUUCUACUAUAAAUCAUUCCUUUAAGUUUAUGUCCCAUCAACCGACUAAUUAAAAGUUCUUGAGAAUUUUUCCGUCUUUUUGGGAAUUCUUUCUCACUUUUCUGCAAGUGUAAUCUAAUUUUUAGAUGCUCCUAUAUAUCUUUUCAUAAGCUCCAAAAUACUUUAUUUGGGUUCUUCUUGUUCCAUAAUGUCUCUGAUAAUUUUCCCAAAUUUUUGGAGCUUUCGGAGAAUUUUUCACGGCUUAAUUAAUAAUAAUUUUGGACAUUUAUGAAAUUAUUUUAUCCAUGAAUUUAUUUAAUUCUGAAAACAAUAGAAAUCUUUCCAUCAGCUCUAAAUAAUUUAUCUCGGAUCACUUUGUCUUCUCAAUCGGCACAUAUUCACCUAUUCCUUCAAUUUUGGGCCUACGGAAGGUCUAGUGUUUUUGGGUCAGCCUCUGUAUCGUUGCAUAUGUGAACCUCUCGAUUUCCUUCCUCAUAUUAAAUUCUGAAUUAUAUUCGAGUCGGACAUAGUCCUGUGAGCCCACUGGAUCAUCGUGAAUCCACAUGCAUAUAAAGGGCGAAGCCAUAUGAGUUGUUGACGAAUCAGCUUAUUGGAUUUGCCCUAGCUAGCUUCUGCCGGCCCGAGCUGCCCAGAGAUCAUGGCCGCGCUGCCCUUAUGCGUGCCUGAGUGUGGAGAUUUUUGCCCCUGCCGUGCAAACCAGCCACGAAGGCUUAAGCAGGGCAGCAGUCAGCCAUGCCCAUAUACGUGAUGUCUAAGGAAGAGAACCAGCUGAUGCUGUAUAUGUACGUCUCGCCGAGAUCCACGAGGAGGUGAAGAAUCUGUUAAUGCGUCCGCUCCACCGAGCUCUACAUUCUCGCCAUGCGUCCAUCAUAAUUGUGAAUAGAAUAGGUGAGCUCUCCGUAGCCUUUUUAUCUCUGUGUGUCCUCGCUGUACUCUAUUUCUGAGUUCGCCGGCAAUCUGAACCAUCAUGUUGAGAUAUUGUGUUGACCGCAGGGUAGUUUUUCUAUUGCUAGCUUGAUUAUGACAUGAUGACAUCACUUGAGUUUUGUGGCUGUUUUCCUUUACAAAAAUAAUUCUAGAAAUACAAAGUAAAUACAAUAGCUUGCUUUGACAAUGUAAUCUUUGUUUUAACUGCGUUUUGAUCCGUUCAAGUUGUGUUAGACUCAUAGCAAUGUAAUCUACAUGUUUUUCAUGUCACAUAUUUUCCAUAUGUUGCUAAAUAUUUAAUUGCUUAAUAUGCUUGUAGUUAGUUUUAUAAAUAAAAAUAAUAUAGGUUUGACAUGUCGGUCCUUUGUAAUUAUAUGAGCACGAACUUAAUUAAUAGCAACUUGAAUAUGUUUUAAUUAUAUUUUGCUUAGACAAUCACGAUAUAUACCAUAAACUUAUUUUAGUGCUCGCAUGUUACCUUAUUUUAUAAGUUAAAUUUCAACCAGCAUAAACGAUAUAAAAUUAUGUAUGAAUAAAAUAUGAUCAUCUCCAAUACAAAUCAUGUAUAAUUUGAAAAGUUAAAGUUUACUUUGUUUAAAAUGAUGCCUGCAUGUUUAUUUUUAAAAUAGGAUUAUUGAUAAAUAGUAGACAUGUUUAUAAAUAAAAUAUAAUUAGUUCCAAUUUGUUUCUAAAAUUAAAAUAUAAUUUGACUAAUCUGAAUUAGUAGGUUACACAAUAUUGUUCAUAGUUAAAACAUAUUAAGAUCAUAGUGGUUUCUUUUAUAAUAUCCAAAACUUCCGGUAGUCGUUUCUUUUUAAUGAUAGUGUUGGUUCCGUCGUUUCUCAUAACCUUAGCAUCAAGUCGUGCCUUUUAGUAUGCUCUCUUUUAAACAUUUUAUUUUGAUUGAUGAAUUGUUCUUAGUUGCUUUAUUUAUUGCUUGUAUGUUUGCCUAUGUUUGGUUGCUGUGAUCUGCGAGUAGACGAGAACCGUUUGUGAGUGCUGAAUAUGAGAAGUUGAUGACUGAAAGCUGAUGAUGUGAGAAUCGAGCAAAUGUUUGAGGCAAGUAUAACUUGGGACUAUCAUUGUUACCUAUAUACAAUUAAUACAAUAUUUAUCAUAUGCAUGUGUCCACCUGGAGGACCUUGGCAAAAUCAUGGAGGCUGGUUAUCGGAAUUCCUGGUUACCUAUUUUGAUAUGCAUUUGGGUAGUUCUAGCUAGUACUUGAUUAUAAUCCAUGAUCUUAUAACAUGAAUAUUUGGAUAUACAAUAAACAAUAAAAUAAGCUUUCUAGCAACUUGAACAUAAAGGGUGGAAAGAAGUCUAGCUUUUCCUAGAUUGAUCUUGACCCUCCAUAAGGACUUAUCCCUUGGCAAAAGCUGGGACAAUUCGUAUAAACCAUGAGGGCUAUAUGGCUCUGGCUUUAGCUCGGUAUGAAGACCUUAUCUAGCUUGUUAGAGGUUACCUGAAAGGGCACUAGAGGGGCUUGCCAUUUUGGGUAUAGUAUGGCCUUUGUCCUUAUGUGUAUAGGCUACGAGUCAUUGUGCCAUUUGGAAGGGGGGCUCUAUAUCUACGCGACCGGGAAUCCUUGCGGCCCUAACUUGUUAGAUAAACUUUUGAAAGGCUCAAUAGUGAUCCCUGCCGACCUCCCUAGGAAGGGGGUUAAGAGAUUAGCUACCUCAGGCGAAAGGGUAUAUCAUGACUCAUGGGUAAAGAUGUACAACCUCUGCAGAGUGUUGAAUCUGGUAUACUAGCCGUACCCACGGAUACGGGCUGCCCGGAAAACUGACGGAAUAGAUGACGAAAUAGAUGGACACUGAUGAACAUGAUUAAUGAAGAUAAAUGAUGGUUUAUUAUGUUAUUUAUAUGUGUUAUUCUUAAUUCUUGUAUACAUUGAUCAUGUGGUUAUGGGAUUUAAAUAUGCUACCUUGACAUUUGCUAUCUAAGUAUAAAUAUGCUAUUUACAUAUAAAAGCUAAAUGCAGUCAAACCAGUGUCAGCUUAUUGAGCCUCAUGAACCCCUUGUUAUACUUGUUGAGUACGAUAUGUGCCCAGUUCUUGCUAUUUCCCACCAUUCCAGUUUACUAGUAAGAGUUGAUCAGAAGAGCGAUGGAAUCAUGAAGGAUGUUCUCAAAAUACAAGAAGUGCUAGGCAUAUGGUACUCCCAGUCAGCCGUCCCUGUGAAGAUUGAGCUUGAAGAUUAGUUAUUGUGUUACGAUUCUCUGAUGUAAGUGUUAUUUAUAUGUACGUAUAUUUUCGUUAUAUAACAUUGUUUUUUAUAUUAUUGCUUCUGUUGUUGUAUGUGUGGACUUAUUGGGCACAUAUAUGGCUAGCCUGAUUUUGUUCUUUAAAACCGGAUGUGACACUCUAACUCCUACACUAUAGGGUGGACCCCCUGUGUUAUUCCCAUGGUGUCCCGACAUGUCAUAGUGUGCAUGUCAUGUUUAUAUGCAUGCUGUUUUGUUCCUUGUGGCACCAUGAAUCCAUGUGCCAUCAUCUCUCACCCUUGAUUGAAAGAACAAGUGAAACAUCUGAGGGUGGAAAAUGACUUGGUAAGGAUAUACAUGGAUCAUGCCACGUCACGCUAAGCCUUGGACGUCCCCAUGGUGGGGUCGGCCGACCCCACCUUUGUGGGUGCAAGUGCUCAUUUUCUUCUAAAGUGAUUGCUCCUGCAUCCAAAUACUAAGAGUACAUGUGGAACUAUUUAUUGAUAAAAAUAUAUCUAUGUCAUGCUAUUAUUCAUCUAUUUCCAAGACUAUUGACGGUGUUUUCAUGUAGUUUUUUAUGGUAUAUCCACUGUCAACAAUAUCACAUAGUCGUUACAUAAAUAUAGCACAAUAAUAAAGAUAACUCUCUCGUGGAAGUUCCAUAGUACAGGUAAAAAUCCUUAGGGAAGCUGUAAUAGUAGUCAUUACCCGAGCUAUUUGUUACCCAUCUGGGAUUUUUAUCCAAACUAGUAUAAUGCUCGUGCUAACGCUACGGUUUUUGAAAAUGCUCAUAAAAACUUCCAAUAUUUCUUUUACAUAGUUUAACUUUUACACAAUAUUUGAGCAUGCAUACAAUUCAAUCACCCUUUUGCACAUAAGAAGGCAUAUUAAAGUUAUUUUCCGUAUUAAUCAUCUAAGUCACAUUAUGCCUAACUCUUUAAUUAUGUAUUGGAGAUCUAUAGGGAGGUUGUCGAAAUAUUCAUUUGCAUGACUCGUUUUUCAGAAAUGAGUUCCAGCUAUUGCUGCUGAGAACUAAAAGAAGCUUUUCACCAUUGUUUGAUCAAUGGAUUGACUCUCUAGUUUAACAAGCUUCUUUGUUGUACUCUUUUUGCUCCUUUUUUUCUUAGUUUUUUUUGUAUGCUAACGCAACGGUGACGUCUAGAAAAAAAUAACAAUAAAAUUAAUAAGAAUAGCCUCAGGCUCUUCUAGUUCACUACUACCGGUAAAACAUUUGUACCUUUUGGAGUAAGGACUAACUACUAAAGCCCUUAAGGCCAUAAUCUUCUGAGUAAAACCAUAAAGUUUGAGCACCAAUUGUCCCAUAUAAUAUGUAAAGAUGUUACAAGAAUAAAGAAUCUCCAAUUGAAACAUUAACAAUCACAUAUUUAUGAAAACAAAAGAAACAUAAUAUAUAUUAAAAUAAUAUUUGAGUAUACAGAGAGAGUCAGAGACCAACUACUAUAGAGGAAAAUCCUUGAAAGAAAUAAAGUGCAACAAACCUUUACACCCAAAAUAGGUCAAGGAUAUUGUACAAAAGUUUAAUGCUGAACUGAACAUGUGUUAAGGUGGAUAAUCCUGGAAAGAAAUAAAGUUGGAUUCACAUCAAUUCACAUGUGUUAAGGUGGAUUGGUGUGGAAAUUGAACUAAAUUUCACCCCAAUCCACACCAACACACAUGGAUUGAAGUGAAUCUGACAACAUCCAAAUAAAGCCUAAUGCUGAACUGAACACGCCAUCAGCAGGCAAGCAGGUAGCAGCUGCGCCGGGCCAUGAGCAGGCAAGCAAUUAGCUGAAUGACAAACCUCCAUAUUUCUUGAACCUCAAGAUGGGGGUGGUUGCUCCAUGGAGCGAACCUGGAACUAUCCACUGACCCAUACAAAGAUGAAAGGGGCACCAAUGGAUUCUUUUGCUGAAAUAGACUAGAUUAGGAGCUCCAUUGGAUCGUAUGGUUUAACUCAUGCAUCACGCGCGCUCACAUGUUAAAGCAUUUGAACCAAUAACGCACCAACUGCUCUGCGCCGUUGCAUGCGCUGCUUUAGCCUCACGCUAAGGCAGCAUCUGCUGCUUCGUCAAUUCUUCGAUGCAAAAUGAAUACUGUAGUAUCUUCGUUUAUAUUUGAUAAAUAUUAUCCAAUCAUGAAAUAAUUAGGUUUAAAGAUUCGUCUCGUAAAUUAUAGGUAAACUGUACAAUUAAUUGUUUUUUAUUUAUAUUAAACGCUUUAUGAAUUUGCUGUAAGAUUUAAUGUGACGAAAAUCUUGAAAAGUUUUUGACUUCCGCUAGAAACUAAUGCAGCCUUACUGUAACUACUGUAGCUGAGUGCCACUGCUCUAGCUGCUAGCAGCUCGAGUGCCACUGCUUAGCAGCUGUGCCUGUUCGCCAUUAAUUGCUGUGUCCAAAAGGCAUUGUUUAUUUCGAAAGAAAUUUUAGUUUUACCUACUAUAGGACUUGUUUACUUUCAAAAAUUUUUUGCAAAAUAUAAAUAGUAGCAUUUUCGUUUAUAUUUGACAAAUAUUAUCUAAUUAUGGACUAACUAGGCUCAAAAGAUUCGUCUCGUCAAUUUCGACCAAACUGUGCAAUUAGUUUUUAUUUUCAUCUAUAUUUAAUACUUCAUACAUACGUCUAAAGAUUCGAUGUGACGGGGAAUCUGAAAAAUUUUGCAAAAUUUUUAGGGAACUAAACAAGGCCAUAGUAUUUUCGUUUAUAUUUAUCAAUUAUUAUUCAAUUAUAGACUAAUUAGAUUUAAAAGAUAUAUCUCACAAAUUAUAAAUAAAAUAUGUAUUUAGUUAUUUAUUUAAUUUAUAUUUAAUGUUUUAUAUAUGUAUCGUAAAUUUGAUAUGAUAAGAAAUUUUUUAAAAAAAUAGAAACUAAAGAAGGCCCUACUUAUAGCCUCGCUCUAGUAUGGUAGCUACCUACCUAGCUAGCCUAGCUAGCUAGCACAGAAGCAGCAGCUAGCGUGCGUCAUGUUGUGUGGCCUGUCUUUUUUAGUUUAGUAUUUUUUUAAAUAGAUACUUAUAUCACUUUUGUUUGUAUUGAUAAAUAUUAUUUAAUUAUGGAUUACCUAAGUUUAAAAGAUUUAUCUCGCAAAUUACAGACAAAUUAUAUAAUUAGUUAUUUUUUAUCCAUAUUUAAUAUAUAUAUCGUAAUAUUCGAGAUGACGAGAAAUCUGAAACUAAAAAAGGCCAAAGAGAGAAGAAUGGUCACGAAUUGUCAGGCCGAAGAGAGAAGAAUGGCCAGGGGUUGUCAGGACCUGCAAGUGCGGCUCAUGUGCCUUCGCAAGCUGCAAUCUCAUCGGACGGCCGCCGCGACAUGGACAGGAGGUAGGAGCGGGUCGAACCGCAUAAUGCUAAGGUUUGAGAAUAUCUAAUUCACAGAUCCUAAGUGUUUUUAUGGGUUGGAUAUGGAGCCCAAUAGGAUGUUUUUUUGGAACGGUUUGCUGAACGUGUGGAUCGAACCGCACCACCCCCAUUUUGACUUGAACCACCCUGGCCGGCUGCUCAUCUCUACAAUAAACAAUAUGAUUGAAAUAGGCGGACACUUAUGUAGAUAAACAACAUCAGUCCAUAGGGAGGGACGUUCGUAGAUAAGCCAUGACAGGCCACAGGCAGCACGUACGUUCAUAGAUCAUCAACUGUUAGCAGAUUUAGAUGACUGAAACAACAUGAACCAACCCGCCGAUUGCUCAUAAGUGUUUUUUUAGUGAGUUCGAACCUGCGUUAUUUGCGUCACCUACCGAACGAUUGAAGACAAAUCACCAUCCGUCCCUCCAGAAUGUCUCCAGGAAAUCUCCACAAUCAAAAACCUCAACCUUCAUAUUCGGCAAUAAUAAACCAUAAAAAAAGGAAAUCUAAAAUAAAUAUAAAACACAAAAUGAAAUAUUUCAUCCUUGCAUACCCGGAUCUCUGCAGCCAAAAGAGACGUGCAUGCCCUGGUGGUGCACAGGGAGCAGGCGCUCAAGGGCGUGGGCGCAGCCAUCUUGGAUCACCCGCACGCCGGACAUCUUGGCCUGCCGUUGAGGAGACUGUCGUCGCGUGCUACCAUGAGUUCGGGAAUAAGGGACAUGCCUUGCCCUAGUGGUGCGCAUGGAGCAGGCACUCAAGGGCGUGGAUGCGGCGGCCUUGCAUCGCCGCAUACCGGAUGUCUUGGCCAGUCGUCGAGAAGAUGGUCGUCGCGUGCUGCCGCGAGUUCGGAAUAGGCACGUACGGUGAUUUUUGUGGCGAGUUCGAACCUGCGACGUCGUUCGUAAGAGCGGGCGCGGGGGGAGGGGGGGGUUGAGAAGCAUUGCAUCAAACUUUGUCUCUUGGCCUUUAGAUCUAACGUACUUCUUUUGUGAGCCCUUGAUUUCAAUGGAGAGAAUUUCUUGUGUACAAUUUUCUGGGUACACAAUGGUUAAACUACUCAGCGGGGGAUGUUUUUCUUGGUGGAUCUAAAAUAAUUUGAAAUGACCAAUUAUAGUAGAGAUAAAGAAAAUAAACAACCAUAAGUACAUCUCGUACUUAACAAGUGUGACAUGGGGUUCAUGAGGCUCAAAUUAGCAAGACACAUGUUUAACUGCAUGUAGCUUUUAGUUGUCAUAGUUUUAGCAUAUGAGUAGCAUUAAGUUGUUGUAAUCCCAAAGUAAACACAUGAUCAGGUAAAAUGAAUAAUGAAUAGCAUAAACAAUACAAUCAUUAGUGAUCAUCUAUUCCAUAAUGGUUCUAAGGCCACUUGUGGCCGUGAGCAUAGCUAAUAUAUUAGUUCUACACAUGAUUCCCAUAUGGCCGGUGUCAUGACUCCCCAAAACACUACUAAGAUGAGCAGAUAGUGUUCACUAUAAAGUCUUUCUAAGGUUCGUCUAUCAUAUUAGGGCCGCUAGGUUUCCAAUUGGCAAACAAACGUAGAGCUCUCCAUCCUAAUGACACAAUGGCACACUACCUAUACACAUAAGGACAGAGGCUGCACUAUACAUGAUUCGUCAUACCCCUUUUGCACCAUAAAGGUAACCACUAACAAGCUAGAAAAGGUCCUGUUAUAUGAUUAAAGCCAGAUCCAUAUAGCCCUCACAGUUGUAUUGUAUGUCCUGGAUGAUAACUUAGAGAUAAGUCCUUAAGGCAAGGAAUCUGAAGCAUAUACUGCAACCCCCUUUUACCAAGUUCCUAAAAAGACAUAUUUUAGUGUUUAUUGUAUACUCCAUUAGUCAAGUUACAAGAUCAUGGUUAGUAUUUUUUGCUAGCAUUAGCUGCCCAAUGCAGAUCCCAGAGGUGACAAGGUAAAAGUACAAAGCUAGGAAAUCCUUAACAAAGGAACACACGCAUAUGAAUUAAGUGUAGGGUUAUUAGGAAACAAGGAUAGUCCCUUGCUAUAUUUGUCUUUUAUAUUUGCUCAAACUUCCUCAUACUUUGCUUCUGGUCAUAAUCUCCUUAUCUUCAGUGCUCAACAAAUGGUUCUCGCUCUUCUCAUAGCAAGCACCAAGCAUAGGAAAAUAUACAAGCAACAAAUAAAAGGAACUAAGAACAAUACACCACAUAAGAGAAAAUAACAUACUAACACAGAGCUCGUGCUAUGAGAUCACAAGAAUGCUAAAACGGUACCAUCCUUAAAAAGAAACAACUAUCCAAAGCUUUAUAUCAAAAAUGAAAAGAAAAAACAACAGCUUGAUUCAUUUUGGUUGACAAAAUUAUGGAAAAGUUCUUAUUUCAGAUUACACAAAUAUUUGAACUUAAAACUGAGUUGAAGCUAAUCAUAGUUUCUUUUAUAAAUGUUCUCACACAAUCUAUUAUGCAAGUUAUGCUUUAUAUAUAUUUGCAAAAGAAAUAAUCAAGUGAGACUAUCUAAACGUAUUUUAUAUUACAUCACAGUGUUUAGCCUAAGAAAAUUAUAAAUUAAAUAUAUUUAUGUUAGUGGUUAAUUAUAUUAAUAUUUAUUUAUUUACAUAUACAAAACCAAAGUGUAUCACCUAUAUUAUUUUUUAAAAAUUUAAAACUAUUUACUUACCCACUAAUAAAAUUAAUAAUUAAUUAUGAACACAUAAAUAUGUGAUAUGAUAUAAGCGCCGACAGGCCGUAGACCACGCAAUGUGAAACUAAUGUAGCAAAAUAAACUGAAACAAAAUUAAAAUAAAAAAUAUGUGAAUUGGACAAGUGCAUGAGUGUCAGUUGCCUUGCUUACUUCAGCAUUGCAUGACGUGAAUGUUCUCUUGAAAGGUUCUGGUGGGUAGAAGAUAUGUAAAAGAUGCAUGCAUAUGCACUUGGUGAAUUUGGCUUGAUUUGCUGUCUGGCAACGAAGAAACGUGCAGGAGUUGCUUGCUAUGGCGAGGACAGAGGCAUGAGUCAGGCUUGGGCAUCAGCUGGAACGGACGCUUGUGCCCGGAGGUGGAUGGCCGACGUGUAGAACAAGCAAAGGCGACAUGCAGAAGCUGAUUUCCUUGCAAGCAGAUUGAUUCACCAUGGUAAAUAAAAGAUGAGAGGGUCAACAAGAGGCGUUCUUACCAGAGGUUGAUGUGCGGCAGAUGAAACAAUGGUGAACAAUGGUACUGAUUGGCUACCAGAUGGACUCCACCUCGGAAGGAGAGUGGUUACAUACUUAGGCCGUGUUCGUUUACGUCAGAACAGGGUGAGAACGGAGCGGAAUAGUUUCUGGCCAGUACAAAUUUGUGAGCGAAAUCUGCAACUGGGUAUAGUUACUGUAAAAACGAACGGGGCCUUACAUGGCACCCACGCAACGAGACGUUGGAGGUAGUGUAUCCAGCAAAACGAAUUUACUGCACAAAGGCUUUGAGUAUUUGAAAAAUGAAGAGAUAUUUUAUUAUUUUCAUAAUUAAUUAAUGUUGUUGAUAUAAUAAUUCUAGAAAAGUCUAAAAUUACUAUUUAAGCCGCGAAAAAUAUUCUAAAAAUUCCAAAAAUUUGGGGAAUCUUCUUAGAGACAUCAUAGAACACGUGGGACCCAAAUAAAGCAUUUGGUGCACAUGAUAAGAUAAUUUGGAGUAUCUAGAAGUUAGAUUAUUAUCAUAAACAAGUGGGAACAAGUUCUACAAAAAGCUGAAAAAAAUUACAAGAAGUUUGUAGAUAUUGAUUGAUGGAGGAAGAACCAAAAGGAUUGAUUUGGGUUACAAAGAACAAAUUUAGGAAGCUCUUAAGGAAAACUUGAGCUGAGAAAUAAGGAAUUUAAUCAUAGAAAAGAUGAAGGCAUGUCGGAGAAGGAAGAUCGAUCCACUAAACACAUUUUGAAGAUUGUACUCACUCUUAACACAAAGGAGGAACAAGCAAACAUCACAUCAAAUCAUAUGCACCAACAUGUAUGCACAACAAUGAUACUAAGUCUUAUGAUAAAUUUUAAUUCAAUGAAAAAUAUUAUCUUUCCUAUAUUUUAUGAGCACAAAAAUACAAAUUUAAAUCAAUUUACAUGUAUUUCGAAAGGAGCAAUUUUUAGGGUGUUACAAUUCUACUCCCUUAAGAUGAAUCUCGUCCUCGAAAUUCGGAAGAUGGUGAUCAAAGAGAUAGGGAUACUCUAUUGUUGAACUUUGUUCACUUUCUCGAGUAGUUCAAGCUUCUUAGCAACGAUCCUAGUGUACCUUGAAUGUUGUUACAACCUUGCUCUAAAUUGCUUGCUCAACUCUUAAAAAACAAUUCCUUAAUCCAUUAUUUCCAAUGAACCUUUCCAGUUCCUCUUGUUCCAAAGUGAGCUCUGUUAAUAACCAACUUUAUAGUAUUAAGUGAUAUCACUCAAGUUCCACACAUUACAAUUCCAUAAACAUUGGUGUCAUCUGAACUUUCCUAGCACGCACUUUAUGCUAAGACGACUUUUGCUUCUUCAAGCUAUAGCACACCUCCAUGUCGUAAUCCUUGAUGAACUCUAAUACAACAAUGAUGUCACCAACUUGAAACAAAAUUAGUGAAGAUAUCCUUUAGAUUCCUAUGGACCACCAUUAAAGACGACAUAUCCUAUAAGAGAACUUCCACCAACCAAAACAUACUUGUCAUGCCUGGUGUGACAUUGAGAUACUUUGUGUCUUCAUAGAAUCGAUUGUAGAUGUAAAAUAUCCCCUUCCUUUGUCAUAAAUUACUAACUUGUCCUAGGUAUGUUUAAGAUUGUACUCCUAAUUCAUGGUAACUCAAACUGAAGAUCAAUCCUGAUGAAUACAUGAGCUCCCUGUAGACAAUCUGAAAAGUUACCUGUAGACAAUCUGACAAGUUACCAAUCUAGAGAAAAUGGUACUUGCUCUUGACAAUGCCUUUGGGGUUAACUAAUACUUCCAAGUGAAGCACUAGAAUGUACUAAACCUUUAUCUUACAACUUCUAUAACUUGGCUACAUCCCUUAAGAAAAGAUCAACUUUGGGUCACCAAAGGUAGCUGCAUCUUCUUCUGGGUAAGUUAGCUAUCACAAAGACCUUCUGAUAUCCAAGAGAACUCAUGUGGAUAGGUAAGAAUAAGCAACCUACAAUUCCUCAUGAGCAAAAAAAUAGUAGUGCAGCAAAACAGCGAUAACUCUAUUUUAGUUAAUCCAAUGAAGUUGUACUUUAUGUCAUUUGAAAGAUGAUGAAAUCCUCUACAACUUUUUUGUAGAACAUGUUUCCUAAUUCUAUCACACCCUAAUUUAAGGAUGGAUUGAGAUGCAUAAACCUUACGUGUGCUUAGAGAUCAGUCACGCACACAAGCUCACAAAUUACAGAGUACCGUCACUAUGCUUAUUACAUAACAAACAAUAAUUGAAAUAAUAACUCAUAAAAGCAGAAGAAAUAAUAACUAUCUCUCAAUGGAAGCCUUCAACUCCACAGGGACAUUGACAGGUGACACAUAAGUCUAGAAGUCCUCGAGAAAGUACUCAUACUAGCUGUCAUCUGUUACCCAUCCGAGAUUUUUAUCCAAAACAUAAAGUAAAGCAAGCACAAGCAUCUAAUACUUAACAAGGACAACAUGACUUUAUGAAGCUUAGGAAGCCGACACUGGUUUACUACGGUUAGCAUUUUUAAUAAACCUAAUCCUUAGCACUUUCUUAGCCUUUAGUUAUGCAUAAACCUAAGUUAAACUAGGUAAUGAUAAGAAUGUUCAAAAGUCAUCAUAAUAGUAUUCAUCAUAAUACCCAUCAUCAUUUAUAACAUCAUAAUUAAGUGAGCAACUAUUUCAUCAGUUUUACGGGACACUCAUAACCAUGAGCAUGGUUGUUAUAACAAUUUUUAGAGUUUGUACAUCUUUACCUAAGACCUUUGAUUUACCCUCUUGCCCAAGGCAAAAGUAUCUAAACCCCCUUUCUUUGGAGGUCGGCAAGGUUCACUAUGAAGCCUUUCAAAGGUUUCUCUAACAAGUUUGUAGCCGCUAGGUUUCUAUGGCAAGGGAUUAUAGAGCCCCCUUCCAUAUGGCUCAUUCCACGCAGGUUAUACACAUAGGGACAGAGGUCGCACUAUACUCAGCUUGGUAGGCCCCAUUUGCACCCUUUCAGGUAACUAGUAGCAAGUUAGGAAAGAUCCUACUACUCAGCUAAAACUGGAGCCAUGCGGCAAUCCCAGUUGUACUGUAAGUCCUAGCUUUUGCCAACAGAUGAGUCCUUGGGGAGGGCCAUAAGCAUCAUGUACAAAACCCAACUGUUCUCUCACCCUAUCACUUAGUUGCUAUCCAAUUUUAUCAUCCAUUCCAUAUAGUCAUUAGUAAGCAUUUGUUUUUGUUAGUUCUAGCAAUAGCCAUUGUUGAUGGUAGAUAAGUGUCAUUUUUAACAGUCAACUUGAUCGAGAAAAUGUUAUAAAAGGAGUCACCAUCAUAGACAUGGGGUUUAAGUGAAUGAAUUCCAUUAGUUUUGGUGAAUAUCUAUUUUUGCAUGGUGUCAGCUAAAGAACAACCAUGGAAGGCCCACAUGCUAGGUUUACAUGGAGAGAAAACACCUACAUAUGAAAAAGAAGAGUUUAGAGGACUCGAGAAGGCACUCCUUGGAGGGAGGGGCCCACUUCUGACAUAGAUAGGGCGGCCACCCUCAACCCUGCACCAAUCAAGUGUAGGUUCACGGAUCGUCCCUCGACAGCCUUUAAAGAUCAAUACUCAAUCGUCCAUCAAAGUCGGUUUGAUCCAACUGCUGGCCCCUAAAUUAGCAAUCCCUUUAAAACCUAAUUCAUUAUUUUUAGUCGGGAUCAACAAAGAGAGGUCCCCUGAAUGGAUCUCCUCUCUAGAGCCUAGCAUUCAAGAGAGAUUAGGUUUAUAGUCUCUAUGUGAAAUUAGAGUUCUUCUGCUAGAUUGAAAGAGAUAGAGUAGAGGGAAGAGUUGGAGGAAACUCGGCCUAUCGGUGUCUCCUCUCUAGCUUGUAUGUGUGGGAUCAAGUCUCUGUAACCUAGAGCUUGCUUCUAAGAUUCUUUAGUAAUACAUUCCAAUACUAGUAAUUACAUUGUUAUUAUUGUUCUAUGGUUUGCGAGUUUACUUUAUUACUUCACGUAGGGAGUAGAGUAAUCAUCCGUAGUGUAAGCAUGGUGCUUGGGCUUAGGUAGUCAUAGAUAUCCCCUAUCUGUCUAGAUCAGUGGUAAGUCAUGGGGUUGAUAGCCUCAUUGAUCCUUUGGAGCAUGUGCCCAUUAGUAGGAUUGGUAGGAUUUCCAUGCGAGGGUUAAGCAUCCUCUAUGGUGUCUUUUCCUUUAGUACAUCCCCAUCAGAGCAAUGGCCGCAUAGCUUGCUAUAGGUUAGAAUUAGGGUGCUGUAGUAGUCUUCUCUAUAUGCCUUAUAUCAUGUUAGCUUCCUUACAGCAUAGAGGUUAAGCAAAGAUUUGGUUAGUCAUCGCACAUUUUCUCCUUGAGGAUAAAUAAAUACGAUACUCUAGAAAUAUCUCUUGGGUGAAGUUCUCACCAAUGUCUAUGUGCUUGCGGAUUAUUUAUCUUUGAUUCUUCUAGGUGCGUAACAGAUAUCAACAAGCAUUUCUGGCAACGUUGCUAGAGAGAAAGAUGGGUUGCUGAGUUAACUUUUAAGUCUAGCUUAACCAUGCACUUUACUCUUGACCUUUUCUCUUUUUAUCCUUUUUUCUUUUCUAUCCUUAUGUAUAAUCUAUAAUCCAAAUUCCAUGCCUAUGUUUCCAUAUGUUGCAUCCAUGAGCACAAGCUUAGAGCCACUAGAGCCCAUGAUCAUAGCACCAAGCUAUGAGCUAGACCCAUAUUUGGUUGCAAUAGUCAAAACCAACCCUUUUCUACAGCCAGGGUCCUAUCUUAUAAUCAAGAAGGUAAUGAACGUUUGGCUACAUGCACGGAAUCGUUUAAUCUUCUUAUUAAUUUAGGUAUAUACCUAGCCUUAGAAGACCAUGUUAUUCUCCGAUAUUUUUAUUUGGGUCUUAAUCAUAUUACCUUUGGAGGAGAUUUCCUUUUUUAUCCAUUAGUGAAGCAAGGUUUGUCCUUAUCAGUGGACACACUUCUUGCACUAGCCUCCAUGAUGAACUCCUAGAGGAAGAGAAGGAAUCAUCCCCCAAAUAAGAAGAGGAUGUUUUGAUAGCCAAAUUAUGAACAUUUGAAUCUCACAUUUUGGAAAUCCAUCCCAAACUAUUAGUACUCCAAAAUUCUCCAAUGCAUGGAGACAUUCUACCCUUGGAAAUCGUUUCUACUGAUGAAUUUGGGAGUAGUGUAAACUUCCCGCUUCGUAAGAGAUCUUUUAGUGCAUAUAGUUUAAAUCUUCUCAAGAAGUGAUCUCUUAGAAAGCUAUUCAAACCCAAUCCCUUUUGAAGGUCAUCCAAGGAUGGCAUGUUAAGUAAUGCCAUAGAAGGAGAGUGAAGCCAUCCUAAAUCCACUCCUAUCUUUUCCCCUUCUAUGCCCGGACCAGUUAUAACAAUGAAAUCUGACUAUCAGUUAAUACCAAAGAUAGGGAAAUUCAGCAAACCCAUAUCACAUAUGCAUUUACUUUUAACUUAGUUCCAAUUGUAUUUGGAGAAUUGUAUUUUAGGUCAUGAACACGAAUACAUGGGAAUUAUUCAUCAAAAUUUGCUUUCAAACUCAUAAAACAGCAAAAACAAGAAUACACCAUCCAAACGCACACCAACAAGGAGCAGCACAUGAAGGAUCGACAUAGGAGCAUACUAGGACCCACCACAUGAAGGCGGUGGCCGAGAGGUGGUGGGCUAGGUGCGGCCAAACCAGGGGUUCGGACAAACCCCUACCGGCCCCUCUUGCCACUACCCUUCUCUUGUGGUUGCAUGCUACUAUGUCGAGGCGGUUCCCUGCAUGCUCCAGCGAAAUCCUUGGACAAGCACCACCUUUCCUCCUAUAUAAAUAGGGCCUCCAUCUCCCUCUCAUGAUCAUCACCUACAACGAGAAUUACUAGUAGUAGUUUUGUUUUGUUUAUUUCUUUCCAUUAGAAUAAAGAAGAGGGAGAUAGAUAUGAGCAAGAGAAGAAGCCAAAGCUUUAUGCAACUCCUCGAGUGUAGCUUCUACACAUAGAAGAGAAGCCGAAGAUAGCAACUUCUCUGCUCGUACUUUUGUAAGAAUCUUACGUUUUGGAGUAAGGAUCUUAAGUUCUUCUUUGGUUGUUUAAAUUAAAGAAUUUACCUUUGUACUACUAUAGCUUGUGUGAUUGUUGUUCGUUCUUGUAGCGGAUGCUCUAGCAAGGCUAUAAUAAAGACAGAUAACCCUAGCAUGCGCACUAGAGUAACAUCGGACAACAUAAACUUGGUCUAUGGGUUGGAAGUUAUCUUUAGUUUGCCUCUCUUCCUCCAUUUAAGGGCAUAGUGGUAGGUGGCAAUAACCCUAUUCAUUCUAAGAAUUCCUCCCGUUUGACUAGUGGUAGAGCUCUGGAUAGCAUUGCUUGGCUAACUAGACACACUCUAGAGACGGAAGCAAGGUGUGGUAAAAUGAAGAUAUCUUCAUUUAAUAUACUUAACCAUAGAAAAAUCUCAUCACCUCAUGCAUCAUCCUCCCUAGGCUUGCAGACUAAAGAUUCUAGUUCAAUCAUUCCUUUGGGAAAAUAUGAUACCUAGAAUACUUCCAGGUGAAGUGCUACAACUAUGUAUCCGUGCGCUUGCGGAUUCCCCUAUAUGCGUUCAGAAACACCAACAAAUAUGAAUGGCUAGAGAGUAUUAAAAACCUAUGUGCUAUUGCCAUUGAGUGGAUGGAUAAGGCCUUAUAUGAUACCAACUUUAGAUGCAAUCAAAGGGGAAUUCUAGACAUUUAUGAUGAAUCACCCUUGAACAUUAAAAAUGAUGGAGACUUUAAUGAACAAGGAAGCUACUUCAUAAAGAGCCCAUCAAGUCCUUGCACGUAUGAGAAAUCUCCUGAUUCACUGAGUCUCUCUAACAUCACGACACAUGUGAUCUUCAACCCCCUCAUGCUCCCUGUCCCUAAAGAUUUUGAUAGGGUGUUUGUAGUUGCAUAUGUUUAUUAUAAAUAUUGCAGAUCUCAUCGUGGCUUAAUCUCGACACAAGUGCUCAUAGAUUGUUGUUGGAGGGGAAACCACUUCACAAAUUCAUAUGAUGGCUUCCUUCAACUAGCAAGAUGUCCUACAAUGACAAGAUCAUUGAGAACAUCAACGCCAAGCUUGAAAUUCUUUGUACAUCUGUCAAAAGUCAGAAGAGUUUCAACAAGAUGAUAGAAACACAGAUAGCACAGAUAGUUGCAUCAAUUCCAGUCACUGACACAGAGAGGAUCCCAGGGUAACCGGAAACCUCUACUAAGUUCGUCCAUGCAGCCACAAAAGAAUGAAGGAAGGAAAGUCUUGCCAACAGACUAUAAAUGUUGAGCCCUUGACGAAGGCAUUCGGUAGUUAUCUAAAAAAAACUAUAUAUAAUAAAAAUAUUUUUUUUGCUAUUUGUGUCCCAAUAAAGAUAUCUGAAGGGGGCCCACGGCAUCAAGCAAGCUUGGGGGAGGUGUCCCGCUCAGGUAUUAUGUCUUUUUAAAUUAUUUAAAUUUUAUUUUAAUUUCCCUUUUUAUAAAAAGUUUUUUAUUUUUAGUUUCCAAAAGUUUCCCUUUCUAUAGUUUUAUUUUUAGUCAAUAAUAAAGUUUCUUUGAAAAUCUUAUAAAAAUUAUUUUCUGGUAUUAUAGAUUUUCCCAUUUCCAAAUCUAAUUUUUAUAUAAUUUGUUAAAACCAAAAAUACUUUGAAAAAAUAUGUGGAAAAUUAAAAUCUGGAGCAAGAUUUCGAACCAAGUCUGAUCGUAACCAGAGAGACGUUUGGGGUGACCGUUGGAGCCAGCAGCCAAAAGACCGGGCAGAGGCAGGCCCACCACUGGUGCCGGCGCACCAGGGUGUGGCCGCACCCUGCCCAACGCCUCCUGGCCUCGGCCUUUGGGCAAUGGCUAGUAGCCGUUGAGGGGGCGCUCCUCCGCCUGCAAUCAACUCUAUAAAUAGAGAGGAUCCCAGGUGGAGCACCUCACCCUUCUCACACACAUUUUUUACUCUUCCCUUCUUCACUCUCUUGCUCCACUUUGCUUCAUAGCCUACUCCACAAGCUUAGUGCAAGAAAAUUCUAUCAAAAACCUCUUGCACACUUCCCUCUCCAAGCAAAAACACCAUACACUUGUGCUAGCUCGUCCACCAUGAAUAGAAUUUUCGGGCUUAGAAGGAGCCACCACCAACGCAGGGAAGAUCCACCAACCCAUGCAAGGAACGAGUAGCCGGCACAUGGAGGAGAGGAGGAGGAUCCACACGGCCACGACAUUGACGAGGCCGACGCCCCUUUCAUCGACUUGGAGAGCGAGCGGGAGAUGCAGGCAUACAACCGCGUGAAGGAACGCGUGUUCCUCCAUUCACCGGCAUUCGAUGCGGAUUCUUGCACCAAAUAGGUAUAGAUGUUGAGUUUGAUACUAUUUUCAAGCAUCUUGGUCGGAGUAGAGUUGCCCCUAUUUAUGAGCUUGGGUCACGUCUUUUGACGAUUCAAAUUUUGGGCACUCUACAAAUUGUCGAUUAUGGUAUUACCUUUCGUUGCUUUGGAAGAGAUUUCCGUAUUUAUUGGAAGGAUUUUGACAACCGUUUGGGUUUCUACGAGCGGCGCUCCAUUGACUUAGGUUUCUCCCUCGAGGGUUACAAACGUCAUGCUUUCCGGCAUUUGAUCUCGGGGCAACACGUCAUUGGAAAGUUUUAGGGGCAUUCUGCCAACAUCCAUCACCCCACUCUGAGUCUUCUCCAUAAGUGGAUCGCUAGUUCGUUCUUUUCAAGAGAUGAUACGCAUCUUACUUAUGACAUAGAGUUGAAGUAGCUUUAUGCUGCACUCAAAAAUAUUAAGGUUGCACCUGUUGUUGAGCUUGUUAAUCAUUGGUUGCAUUCCAUUAAGGCUUCAACUGCUAUCAUGUGCACAUCUCUUAUUACUCGCCUUGCUGCAAGUGUUGAUACCCAUGCUGCUAAUACCAUUAUUUACUUCACUACUCCUCGCAUCAUGAUUAAUGAAUCAUAUCUUUUGAAUGCAUAUGCGAUUAAAUGCGACGAAAUAGGUAAAAAGAUUUUAUAUUAUUUUCCGAGAUAUACAAACGAGAUCCAGUUACCUAACCCGGAUCUCGCUCUGUAUAAUUCCCCAUCACUCACCUUCACCCUCAUUGAGAGGGAAGGAGGACGCAGGAGCUCUGUUUCUCGCAGGAACUCACGGAGGAGGGAACAAGAAGAGCAGGCAGCACAAGCAGCAAGGGCAGCACAGGCAGCACAGCUAGCACCAUCCGCACAACCGGCACAACACACUCCACCACCAGCUAUGCCAGGGAUGGGAUGGACCCCUGCUAUACUUGGACCCGGAUUUACCCCUAGGUAUGGAUAUGGUAUGGAUACGUUCCUCACUCCUACGAGGCUAGAGGUUUGAGCUGGCAGGCAGGAGGGUCGAGCUGGCAGGCGCACGGAGGCGCAGGCCCAAGCGAGCCAGAGGCAUAUGGGGCAGGGGGAUCCAGGCAUCACGAGCCAGGACACUCCUCAAAUUCCGAGGGAAUGCCACACCCUGUUCGCCCUUAGGUCACACUGGACGUCCUCAACACCCGCAUGGGAGGAUUGGAGCUCCAGAACAGGCAGAUCCAAGGUAUGCUGAAUGCCCACAUCCAGACUGCUACCCAAUGGCAUCAGCAGACCCUGCAGAGCUUCAUCGCCGGCACGAGGCACAUUUGGCCUACCUGCGAUCCAUGGGACAUUUCCCUGGAUCGCACUAGUGAUCUAGCUUGGGGGAGGACCCCCACAAGAGGUAACAUGUAUCUUACAUUCUUGCACUUAAUUUUAGUUCUUAAUUUUAGUAUUUAAAUUUUAGCAAUUUUUCAUCAUCUUUCAAAAAAAUAUUCCACUCUCAUGUGCGCUAUGAUAUGUUAGUUUCUCUUCUGCUAAAAUGCUGAAUAGUUGCUCUAUCUAUAAUUCUCUAGUAUCUAAGUUAUAAUUUAGUGUUCAUCAAGAUUUAAGUUUGUUGGCUAAAAAUGGCUCAGUCUGAGAACUUGAAAUAUUGUGGGUUGCAAAUGCACGAUCCUUUUCUAAGUUGUUGCGAGACAUGAUAUGGUAUAAAUAGAUUUUGCUAUGACUUUGUUCUAAGAGAAACUUGACAUCCGGAGUUUUCUUUUCAAAAAUUCAAAACCUCAAUGAUUAUGAAAUACCCACCAAGGCCAUAUGACUUGCUUAGUAGUUUGUACACCUUUAGUCAUAUGCGGCUUGCGGCGCUCUGAGUUGAGUGGAUGGAUAAGGCCUUAUAUGAUACCAACUUUAGAUGCAAUCAAAGGGGAAUUCUAGACAUUUAUGAUGAAUCACCCUUGAACAUUAAAAAUGAUGGAGACUUUAAUGAACAAGGAAGCUACUUCAUAAAGAGCCCAUCAAGUCCUUGCACGUAUGAGAAAUCUCAUGAUUCACUGAGUCUCUCUAACAUCACGACACAUGUGAUCUUCAACCCCCUCAUGCUCCCUGUCCCUAAAGAUUUUGAUAGGGUGUUUGUAGUUGCAUAUGUUUAUUAUAAAUAUUGCAGAUCUCAUCGUGGCUUAAUCUUGACACAAGUGCUCAUAGAUUGUUGUUGGAGGGGAAACCACUUCACAAAUUCAUAUGAAGGCUUCCUUCAACUAGCAAGCUGUCCUACAAUGACAAGAUCAUUGAGAACAUCAGCGCCAAGCUUGAAACUCUUUGUUCAUCUGUCAAAAGUCAGAGGAGUUUAAACAAGAUGAUAGAAACACAGAUAGCACAGAUAGUUGCAUCAAUUCCAGUCACUGACACAGAGAGGAUCCCAGGGCAACCGGAAACCUCUACUAAGUUCGUCCAUGCAGCCACAAAAGAAUGAAGGAAGGAAAGUCUUGCCAACAGACUAUAAAUGUUGAGACCUUGACGAAGGCAUUCGGUAGUUAUCUAAAAAAACUAUAUAUAAUAAAAAUAUUUUUUUUGCUAUUUGUGUCCCAAUAAAGAUAUCUGAAGGGGGCCCACGGCAUCAAGCAAGCUUGGGGGAGGAGUCCCGCUCUGGUAUUAUGUCUUUUUAAAUUCUUUAAAUUUUAUUUUAAUUUCCCUUUUUAUAAAAUUUUUUUAUUUUUAGUUUCCAAAAGUUUCCCUUUCUAUAGUUUUAUUUUUAGUCAAAAAUAAAGUUUCUCUGAAAAUCUUAUAAAAAAUUAUUUUCUGGUAUUAUAGAUUUUCCCAUUUCCAAAUCUAAUUUUUAUAUAAUUUUUUAAAACCAAAAAUACUUUGAAUAAAUAUGUGGAAAAUUAAAAUCUGGAGCAAGAUUUCGAACCAAAUCUGAUCGUAACCAGAGAGACGUUUGGGGUGACCGUUGGAGCCAGCAGCCAAAAGGCCAGGCAGAGGCAGGCCCACCACUGGUGCCGGCGCACCAGGGUGCGGCCGCACCCUGCCCAACGCCUCCUGGCCUCGGCCUUUGGGCAAUGGCUAGUAGCCGUUGAGGGGGCGCUCCCCUGCCUGCAAUCAACUCUAUAAAUAGAGAGGAUCCUAGGAGGAGCACCUCACCCUUCUCACACACAUUUUUUUACACUUCCCUUCUUCACUCUCUUACUCCACUGUGCUUCAUAGCCUACUCCACAAGCUUAGUGCAAGAAAAUUCUGUCAAAAACCUCUUGCACACUUCCCUCUCCAAGCAAAAACACCAUACACUUGUGCUAGCUCGUCCACCAUGAAUAGAAUUUUCGGGCUUAGAAGGAGCCACCACCAUCGCGUGAAAGAUCCACCAACCCCUGCAAGGAACGAGUAGCCGGCACAUGGAGGAGAGGAGGAGGAGCCACACGGCCACGACAUUGACGAGGCCGACGCCCCUUUCAUCGACUUGGAGAGCGAGCAGGAGAUGCAGGCAUACAACCUCGCGAAGGAACGCGUGUUCCUCCAUUCACCGGCAUUCGACCCCGCAUUCUUGCACCAAAUAGGUAUAGAUGUUGAGUUUGAUACUAUUUUCGAGCAUCUUGGUUGGAGUAGAGUUGCCCCUGUUUAUGAGCUUGGGUCACGUCUUUUGACGUUUCAAAUUUUGGGCACUCUACAAAUUGUCGAUUAUGGUAUUACCUUCCGUUGCUUUGGAAGAGAUUUCCAUAUUUAUUGGAAGGAUUUUGCCAACCGUUUGGGUUUCUACGAGCGGUGCUCCAUUGACUUAGGUUUCUCCCUCGGGGGUUACAAACGUCAUCCUUUCUGGCAUUUGAUCUCGGGGCAACACGUCAUUGGAAAGUUUUAAGGGCAUUCUGCCAACAUCCAUCACCCCACACUGAGUCUUCUCCAUAAGUGGAUUGCUAGUUCGUUCUUUUCAAGAGAUGAUACACAUCUUACUUAUGACAUAGAGUUGAAGUUGCUUUAUGCUGCGCUCAAAAAGAUUAAGGAUGCACCUGUUGUUGAGCUUGUUAAUCAUUGGUUGCAUUCCAUUAAGACUUCAACUGCUAUCAUGUGCACAUCUCUUAUUACUCGCCUUGCUGCAAGUGUUGAUACCCAUGCUGCUAAUACCAUUAUUUACUUCACUACUCCUCGCAUCAUGAUUAAUGAAUCAUAUCUUUCGAAUGCACAUGUGAUUAAAUGCGACGAAAUAGGUAAAAAGAUUUUAUAUUAUUUUUCAAGAUAUACAAACGAGAUCCAGUUACCUAACCCGGAUCUCGCUCUGUAUAAUUCCCCAUCACUCACCUUCACCCUCAUUGAGAGGGAAGGAGGACGCAGGAGCUCUGUUUCUCGCACGAACUAAUGGAGGAGGGAACAAGAAGAGCAGGCAGCACAAGCAGCAAGGGCAGCACAGGCAGCACAGCUAGCACCAUCCGCACAACCAACACAGCACACUCCACCACCAGCUAUGCCAGGGAUGGGAUGGACCCCUGCUAUACCUGGACCCGGAUUUACCCCUGGGUAUGGAUAUGGUAUGGGAUACGUUCCUCACUCCUACGAGGCUAGAGGUUCGAGCUGGCAGGCAGGAGGGUCGAGCUGGCAGGCACACGGAGGCGCAGGCCCAAGCGAGCCAGAGGCAUAUGGGGCAGGGGGAUCCAGGCAUCACGAGCCAGGACACUCCUCAAAUUCCGAGGGAAUGCCACGCCCUGUUCGCCCUUAGGUCACACUGGACGUCCUCAACACCCGCAUGGGAGGAAUGGAGCUCCAGAACAGGCAGAUCCAAGGUACGCUGAAUGCCCACAUCCAGACUACUACCCAAUGCCAUCAACAGACCCUGCAGAGCUUCAUCGCCGUCUCGAGGCACAUAUGGCCUACCUGCGAUCCAUGGGACAUUUCCCUAGAUCGCACUAGUGAGCUAGCUUGGGGGAGGACCCCCACAAGAGGUAACAUGUAUCUUACAUUCUUGCACUUAAUUUUAGUUCUUAAUUUUAGUAUUUAAAUUUUAGCAAUUUUUCAUCAUCUUUCAAAAAAAAUAUUCCACUCUCAUGUGCGCUAUGAUAUGUUAGUUUCUCUUUUGUUGAAAUGCUGAAUAGUUGCUCUAUCUAUAAUUCUCUAGUAUCUAAGUUAUAAUUUAGUGUUCAUCAAGAUUUAAGUUUGUUGGCUAAAAAUGGCUCAGUCUGAGAGCUUGAAAUCUUGUGGGAUGCAAAUGCACGAUCCUUUUCUAAGUUGUUGCGAGACAUGAUAUGGUAUAAAUAGAUUUUGCUAUGACUUUGUUCUAAGAGAAACUUGACAUCUGGAGUUUUCUUUUCAAAAAUUCAAAACAAAGAGUUCCUCAAUGAUUAUGAAAUACCUACCAAGGCCAUAUGACUUGCUUAGUAGUUUGUACACCUUUAGUCAUAUGAGGCUUGCGGUGCUUUGAGUUGAGUCAAAUCACAGGUAUCCUAGAGUGAGAUUAUGGUCAUGCACCCAUGAUAUGAGAUUCACGCACCCACCAAAUAAAGCCGACUCUCACACUGAGAUGUUGCGCACAACAUGCACCCUUUCAUCCACCAAAAAUAUGCCAACUCUUAUCCUGAGAGUUGCGCCUUAGCUUGCACCAAUUAAGUAUGCCAAACUCUCACCCUAAGGUUUGCGCAUCCCCAUACACAAUUUUACUCCUUACAUCACCAUCAUGACAUCUCUCCAUUUUCCUCUUUGAGAUCGCUUUGAAACAUGUGGGCAUCAGUUAUCCAUGAGCAAAAAAAAUGAAGGAAAAUCCAAAGGGCAUGGACGAGAAAAUCAAAAUCCCCAUCAGAAAAUAUAUAUAUAUAUAUAUGAUCCAUUUUUUAGGCCCAUAUGUUUACAUUCUCUCAUUCUCUUCCUCAAAUAAAGAGAGUCAUGAUACAAGGAGUAACCAAAAAUAUUUAGAUAGGACUACCACCAAAAAUUCCACACACUUGCACAUCUCAAUCAAGGUGUAUGACUUGUAUCUCCUCAUGGUCCGGGCUUUGACUUGGCAACACAAGUGUCGUAAGUAUGCCCACCUUUAUACCUUACCAAAGCUCCAUUCUCAGCCUUAGUGGUAGGUCUUAAAGGCAAACACAAAUGCCUUUGGUGAGGAUUUCAUACACAUUGAGCAAUCGAGAGAAUCAUUCGAGGAACUUAUUUAUUUUGCAAAAAUUUAUAAAACCUCCGGAUUGAUGGUCUAUCAAGGGAUGAAUGAAUGGUGAGUCUGUUACAACCAUUCUAUCUUACAACCACCCAAAAACUUGGAAAAGCUAUAAGCCCCAUGAGAAGUCAAGGUAAAGAGUGGAUAGCAUGCCAACAUAUUUAAAUUGCGAAUGAAUGCUUUGUUAUAGGUAUGGUUAUCUUGAAUUAUAUCGGCAUAGUAGCAACUCCUGAUCAACAACCAUACUUAAUUAUUUGCUUGAGACGAGCAAAGGUUAAGCUUGGGGGACUUGUUGGCAGUCAUUAUAGACCAAUCAUAAACUGCCAACUUGAUCCAAAAGGAGAAGAAGCAAUCAUAUUAUAUACACACAUGCAUUUUAUUACUAACAAGUUCCACAUGUACCAUAGUGAUUAUAUUUGGCAGGAAUUAUAGUGCAACAAGUGCAAAUGUGCCAUACCACGAAGAAAGCGCAAAGUACCAAAAGACGUAUUCAGAAAUGCGCAAACCAAGAAAAUAGAGAAAGGCCCGAACAAUGUAGAACUGGGCCUAAUCGUAACCAUGGAAGAGAUCCAGGCCCAGAGCCAAACCAACCACGCGAAGGCGGUGGCCAGGGGGACCCACCAAGGGUGCGGCCGCACCCCUGGAAGCGGCAAACCGGGCUCAUAUUUCUCAGGCGGUUGCAUGCCGCCAUGAAUAUGAUGGUUUCACCUACUACGAAAUUUAGAUGUGACGAACUGUCCUAGUUAUACUAUGAAAAGAGAGGCACUCCCCCCUUUUCAACACACACAUCAUUUGGAGUCAAUUUACCUCACACCUCUCACUUGUAUCUUUAGUCCAGAUUAGUAGUAGAGCAAGGCAAGAGCUAGCAAGAAGAGCUUAUCUCCUUAGAAGAAAGGAUCUUCUUGGUAUGAAUAAUAUUCAAUCUUCUUCCAUGAGCAAGUUCUAUUUAUCUUUAUAUGAUUAUGCAUAUGAACUAGAGUAUGGUUGUGUUCUUAUCAUGUUCAUAGUAUAUGAAAUAGUUCUUGGUUCUUGUGCUAUGUUCUUGAUAUGUUCAUCAUUGUUCUUCAGUGUUCAUCAGAUUAGUAUGAUUAGGAGUAGAAUUAGGAAUGGGAUGAUGGUUCAUUGUGCUGUGAUGGUUGCUCUUAGCCUAGCCUGUCACUCCGAAGGGGUGGGGCCCGCGGGGGUUAGGAGUUAUUUCCAAUUACGUGAACAUGGUGUUCAGGUAUGCUAGAAUCAGUGGAUGUGCGGGUAUCUUUCGGGUAGAGGGGUAGGUAAUAGGGUUGUGACAGCUCUGUCAUCCUUUGCAUUCCCCCACGAUCAGGUAUUCCAAUAGUAGUUCUGUAAAGUCUCUAUCGGUUAGGUAUCUAACUGCGGGGAUCUCCCCUCAUCUCAGGCUUAGUUCUGACUCUAUUUAUUGCUAAUUAGAUGAUCCGCUAACAGUUCUAUUCAUAGUUAUAUGUGACCCAUGCCUGCUCAAGUAGAUUUAUUUCUUUAUUCUUUAUUUAUUAUUUCUAUUCUAUUCUAUCCUUGAGGUUGAUCCAAUGUGUGUCCACUAUCUUGAAUAUCAUGUUUAUUCCUAUUUACUCUAUGUCUACUAAGCAUUCAAUAAGUAAUCAUAUUUACACCAUGUUUGAUCCCUUUGCCUUCCUAUGGGAAUUAUAAAUUCGACACCCUUGAAUACUCACGGGUUGAAAUGCUACAAUGAUAGUUCUGUCUGCUUGCAGUUAUAUUACUCUUCAUUCAUGAACUAUCGAUUGGCAUACCUAAGUACCGUUACUUAAGAUUGUAAUCCUUCUGCACUUUCAAGCGUAGUGCCACAACUUUGCAUAUCACAAGUAAGGAUGGUUAGAAAGGCCAAUCCGACAUUCCUAAUUAUUGUUACCAGACUGCACUGCUAAAGCCGGUGCCCUCGAGUUGCCUUGGGUUAUCUCUCUGAUGUAGCGAUAGUUACGGUUUGCCAACACCCGACAUUUCUGGGGUCAUUGCUAAGGAUGGAUCUAUGGUCUAUUUUAGUAGUGACACUAAGAAAUGCCAACGGUGUCUAUAUUUUCUAAUAUGAUUGAAAAGAUUUUUGAAGUUUUCCUGGAUGAUUUUUCUAUUUAUGAAAAAACCUUUAAUGAUUGUCUAGAAAACUUAGAUAAAGUUUUGCAAAGGUGUGAGGAAAAGCACGUAGUCCUUAAUCAGGAAAAUUUUCAUUUCAUGGUUAGAGAAGGAAUAGUGCUUGGACACCUAGUGUCUGAAAGAGGCAUUGAGGUAGACAAAGCUAAAAUAUAAUUAAUUGAGCAUUUACCUCCACCUAUUAAUCGAGAAGGGAUUAGAAGCUUCCUUGGCCAUGCUGGUUUUUACCAUAGGUUUAUAAAAUAUUUUUCAUUCAUUGCAUGACCUCUUACUCGCUUAUUGGCCAAGGAUGUUCCUUUUCAAUUUGAUGAUGCAUGCUUACAUGCUUUUAAGAUUCUUAAGAAAGCACUCGUCUCAGCACUAAUCAUUCAACCUCCUGAUUGGUCUUUACCUUUUGAAAUUAUAUGUGAUGCCAAUGAUUAUGCUAUGGGGCAGUAUUAGGAUAGACUAAAGAUAAAAAGCAUCAUGCAAUAGCUUAUGCUAGCAAAACUCUAAUAGGACCUCAACUUAAUUAUGCUACUACUGAAAAAGAUCACUUAGCUAUUGUUUUUGCUAUUGAUAAGUUUAGAUCUUACUUAGUAGGAGCUAAAUUAAUUGUUUAUUCUAUCAUGCUGCUUUAAAAUAUUUGCUCACUAAGAAAGAUGCUAAACCCCAUUUGAUAAGAUGGAUUUUAUUACUCCAAGAAUUUGACAUAGAAAUAAAAGAUAAUAAGGGAGUAGAAAAUUGUGUAUCCGAUCACUUGUCUAGAAUGCAAUUUGAGAUGGCAUAGGGACAACAUGCUCUAUGGAAUCAACAGAUCUGACCCCUAGUAUGCAGAUAUUGUUAGUUUUAUUGUUACAGGUUAUGUACCACCAGGAGGCAACAAAAGGAAGCUAGUACAGGAGAGUCGUUCUCACAUAUGGGAUGAACCAUACCUCUUCCAAGUAUGCGUUGAUGGUUUACUCAGAAGAUGUGUGCUAGUUGAAGAAGGAAUCAAAAUAAUUGAAAGAUGUCAUUCAUCACCAUACGAAGGGGCAUUAUGGGCAUUCUGAACACUUGCAAAGAUAUGGCAGUGUGGAUUAUUCUAGCGAACAUUGUAUGAAGACACAAGAGAAUUUAUUUGGAGAUGUGGCCCAUGUCAAAGACAUGUCAAUAUCAAUUCAAGUGAUGCCAUGCCACUCAUUAAUAUUGUCUAGAUUGAGCUCUUUGAUGUCUGGGGGAUUGGUUAUAUGGGGCCAUUUCUACCGUCAAAGAAAAAUGAGUAUAUCCUAGUGGCAGUGGAUUAUGUCUCCAAAUGGGUUGAAGCCAUGCCAUGUAGGAAUGCUGAUAGCAUACAUUCAAAGAAGAUGUUCAAAGAAAUAAUAUUUCCAAGAUUUGGUGUUUCAAUGAUAGUGAUAAGUGACAGAGGUUCUCACUUCAUCGACAAGCACUUUGAGCAAUACUUGUCAAAGCAUGGGAUACGUCACAAUGUCGCUACUCCUUACCAUCCUUAGAUGAGUAGUCAAGGAGAGACAUCAAAUAAACAAAUCUAGAAUAUUCUACAAAAGAUAGAAAAUGAGAUGGGGACAGCAUGGAAGUACAAGUUUUAUGAUGCACUCUAGACAUAUUGGAUAGCCUACAAGACACCCAUUGGGAUAUCACCAUAUCAGCUAGUAUAUUGUAAGACUUGUCACUUACCAGUGGAGCUAUAAUUCAAAGCUCACUAGGCCAUCAAAAGAUGGAAUAUGGACCUAGAAGCAGCUGGAGACAUGUCACACCUAUAUUUUAAGAACAAAAUAGGAUGCAUAAAAGACUCAUAUGUGCUCCAGAAUUAGUCGCACACAUAAGUAGACAAAUCUCAAUUGUACCAUUGCAGUGUUUAUUACAUAGCGGAACAUAAUAAAUCGCAUAGUCUCAUACAAAGAUGAUAUCAUAAAGUAAACAACGCUCUCGACGGAAGCUCCACACAGGGACACUGUUGACUGGUUGACUCCAAACCCAGUACUCAUAACGGUAGUCCUCAUUCCAAGCAUCAUCAUUAUCAUAUUCUGAGGUGUUGGGAAAUUGCAAGAGUGAGCACAUAUCGUACUCCACAAGUAUAACCAGGGGUUCAUGAGGCUCAAAUAGCUGACACUGGUUUGACUGCAUUUAGCUUUUAUAUGUAGAUAGCAUAUUUAUUUUUUAUAGCAAAUGUCAAGGUAGCAUAAAUAAUCCCAUAACCACAUGAUCAAUGUAUACAAGAAUUAAGAAUAACACAUAUAAACAACAUAAUAAACCAUCAUUUCUUAUCAUUAUUCACGUUCAUCAGUGUCCAUCUAUUCCGUCAGUUUUUCGGGCCGCCUGUAUCCGUGGGCACGGCUAGUAUACCAGAUUUAACACUCUGCAGAGGUUGUACAUCUUUACCCAUGAGUCAUGAUUUACCCUUUCGCUCGAGGUUGCAAGUCUCUUAACCCCCUUCCUAGGGAGGUCGGCAGGGAUCACUAUGAAGCCUUUCAAAGGUUUCGUCUAACAAGUUAGGGCCAUUAGAUUCACUCGGCAGGCAGAUAUAGAGCCCCUCUUCCAUGGCACAUAACUCGUAGCCUAUACACAUGGACAGAGGCCACACUAUACCCAACGUGUCUAGCCAUUCUUACGCCAUUUAAGGUAACCGGUAAUAAGCUAGAAAAAGGUCCUCAUACUAGCAAAAGCAGAGCCAUAUAGCCCUUAUGGUUGUACGAGUUGUCCCAGCUUUUGCCAAGGGAUAAGUCCUUAUGGAGGGUCAAGAUCAAUCUAGCAAAAGCUAGAGUUCUUUCCACCCUUUAUGUUCUCGUUGUUAGAAAGCUUAUUUUAUUGUUUAUUGUAUAUCCAAAUAUUCAUGUUACAAGAUCAUGGAUUAUUAAUCAAGCACUAGCAAAAACUACCCAAAUGCAUAUCCAAAAUAGGUAACAAGGAAUUCAGGAUAACAAACAUUUAUGAUUUUGCUAAGGUCAUCAAGGUGGACACAUGCAUAUGAUAUAUAUUGUAUUAAUUGUGUAUGGGUAACAAGGAUGAUCCCAAGUUAUACUUGCCUUGAUCAAAGCUCUCUUGAGCCUGCUGGUCUUCAAAUGCUUGAUCUUGAACACCAACGUACGGCUCACCGUCUAUAUUCGAUCAUCAAUCAACAACACGCAAUCCAAUGUAGACAAUCAUACACGAAGCAAACAAGAUAUAAUUAGAACAAUACACCAAACAGUGGUAAAACAAAUAUAAAAGUUUAUCAAAAUAUUCUACGCAGCGCUAUGAUCACAUAAACGUAAAGUUCUCGAAAAUCGGAAUUAAAACGGAGAAGUUAUGCAUUUUCCAAGGUUUCCUAUAGAGAAAUAAUUAAUUAAAUAAUUCCAGGAAAUUUAAAAGUUUCAAAACAGAGGGUAAAUAUUUCUAACAUGUAGAGCUUGGAAAUAUGAAUCUAACGAAAUUUGAAUGGACAAAAACAGAGUUAAAACGAAUAUUUUAUGAGCAUUAUAACAUCAGUAGCAAAACUGUAAAUAUCUGAAAACGUCAACUGAGUUGAACGAGACAGGAAUACGCUUUCCGACAUAGAAAACGUAAUUCUUCCAGGGCGCUAGGGACUGCGGGUUGAAUAGCGAAAUCUCCAGGGACUCUUAACGAAAAUACGCAGCGAAGGGGUAUCCUUCUUUCUGGGACGUUGAUCUUCGAUCGAACGGUUCAAAUCCAUCCACAACACCGGCUCGGUAGCGCCAUGGCCACCGUUCGGAAGCUCCGGCGUUCGCGGGUUUCUCGUUUCCAAGCACCAAACUCUGCAACAAAAAUACCAACGCGUGGAGGAGCUUACCCCGAACUCGCAAGGAUGGUUUUCUCGAGCUGAGAAGGCACAGAGAGGAGCAGGAGCGGCGCGUCGCGGCAGCGUUUUGCUCUCAACACGGCGAGAUCCAAACGCGCACAGAUCAGGGUGUCUAGGGCUCGGUUUGGCAGUUGCAAAGCAAAGGGAAGGCCGCGGGGUUGACCUAGGGGAUUUAUAGGGCUCAAAACCGCGUCGAAAGGGAAAGAUCCCGAGGAAGCCGGGAUUCCGUUCGGAGUUUCCAUCGGCCACGGCUGGGUGUGGCGCUGAAGAAAGAAGGAAGGAGAACGCUUACUUGCGGGCCCUGAUCGUCAGUGAGAGAGAGAGAGAGAGCGCUGGCCGCGCAGUUGGGCCGCGAAAGAAUGGGCUGGGGCGUGGGGGAAAAGCCAGCGGGCUGCGGGGGUUAACUGGGCUGCGGAAAGGAGUGGGCCGCGCGUGGGGUGAGGGGGGUUCGGCUGGGGUUUUUCUUUUUUUAUUUUCUUUUCUGUUUUCUUUUCCAAAAUAAACCUUUUUCAAAUAAAAUUUUGAAUGCAAAUAAAUUCAAGUCAGAGGCAAACAAUACAAAAUAAAAUAUUCUUCGGCAUGAAUGCAUAAACAAGUUUCUAAUCUUAUGUUAAAUUUUCAUUUUGACAGAAAUAUUUUAUUUACUAGAUUAAAUGCCCACAAAAAUUGCUUAAAUAAUUCCAAUUAAAUCCUAUUAAUUCAAAAUCAAAUUUUGGGUGUUACAAAUUCUACCCCCCUUAAAAGAAUCUCGUCCUCGAGAUUGAGCAGUGCAUAAACAACCACUAUGGAUAUGACUCUCUCAAAUCAUCCUCUCAUUCCCAGGUUGCUUUUGUCUCUAAAUACUAAUUCCAUUGUACUAGCAAUCUCAAUAUCUGUAGUCAGGUAGCAUACCUGGUAACUUAUCUGGAAAUUCAUCUGAAGAUUUAUUCCCUACACAUUCCUGAAGAUCAACAUCAUCAUCCAGCUGGUUUACUGUAGCUGUGGGUGGAGCCUUUACUGCUACAUCCACACUUAUUCUCUCUCCCUUUGGUGUUAUCAUAACUACUACUUUCUCUUUGCACUUAAUCUCCGUAGUAUAUUUCUUCAUCCAAUCCAAACCUAAUAUCACAUCUAUGCUUGAGGUUCUCAUAACUAUGGGACUAACCGGAAAAUCUACCCCCCUUAAAGAAAGACUUGCUGAGGGGCAACAAUAUGAAACUGGUAUAGUCCCUCCCGGUGAGUUUACUAGCAUAUGGGUUUUCAUGGCAACUAGUGGAAUGCUAUGAACUCUAACAAAUGCUUGUGAUAUGAAUGUAUGCGAAGCUCCAGAAUCAAAUAAAACUGUAGCAGGGAUAGAGUUGAUACUGAACGUACCCAUCAUAAUCUCCGGUCCCUCUUGUACUGUCUCUGCAGCCACAUGGUUCACCUUUGCUCCAUGAGAAUUAGACUUUUGAUUGUGGUUCUGCUGGUUGAAUCUCUCCGGGCAAUCAUAUGACAUAUGACCUUCUUUUCCAUAGCGAAAACACCUAGUAGGGGUAUUGGGAGCACUUCUCUUCAUAGAGGUGGCAUUUGAAUUUCCUGAGCGGGGAAUCUGCUGACCACUCUGCUGUUGAUUAGGAUUACGCUGAGGUUGUUUGUUGCGAUCCCAUUGACCAACUGGUCCUGAUACCUCUGUUGAUCGCCCUGCUGAGAAUUGAAACGUUGACGGUUGUUGCCUCCAGAACCUUGGGCUAGCAUCCUUCUCUUCUUGUCCUGGCCUUUUCGCAUGUUAUCCAACACAAUAGCACGGUUCACAAGAGCUUGGAAGGUAGGAUAAGUGUUUCCUGCCAGCUGCAACCUGAGUUCAUAGUACAAGGCCUUCAUGAAUAGACGCUGCUUAUCAGCAUCUUCCCUGACAUCAUUCGGAGCAUAGCGGGCCAACUGUUCAAAUGUGUCAUGAUAUUCUGCCACAGUCAUGGAGCCCAUCCUGAGUGAUCUGAAUUCUUCUUGCUUGAGCUCCAUCAUUCCCUCAUUUAUGUGUCGAGCUCUGAAGUCCCUACAAAAUUCCAACCAUGUGACAGGAGGAGCAUUGUUGGGACGAGUAGCUUGAUAUGACUCCCACCAUGUCGGAGCUGCCCCUUGAAGCUGUCCACAAGCAUACAACACUUUUUCCAUAUCAUUGCACUGGGCUAUGUUCAGUUGUCUCUCUACAGCACGAAGCCAAUCAUCUGCCUCCAUGGGAUCAGCUCAGUAUGUAAAUACCAGAGGUCUUCCCUUCAUAAACUCUCCACGCUUAUCUCUCACAUGAACAGGUGGUGGUGUUGGUGGAGGUUGCUGCUGUAGAUGCUGCAUGAAAACGUGUAUCAUCUCAUUUUGAGUUUGCAUGAGUUCCUCCACAGUGAUUGGGGCAUUGUCACCAUUGCCAUUGCCACGGCCUCUGCCUCUGCCUCUUCCCCUUGCUGCCAUCUGCAUUCCAAGGUAUAUAAACACAUCUUAGUAAUGUCCAACAUGACAAUUACAAGAGUUAACGGAAUCUGAAAUUUUCUGGGUAACAUCCAACAUCAGCAGAUCAGAAUAUCAGUCAUAUCUCGAGUUUCAGAAUUCAAAAGGAUGCAUACUGUAUACCGUUGGAAAGAUAAAUAAAUUGUCUACAACUUUUAUUUAGAUCAUAUUAGCAGAUUCCAAAGUUAGGUUAAUCAAAAUUUGGGUAUAACCGAAACUGUUCUAGAAUUCCAGACUGCGCAGAAACCUCAAUUUGAACAGUCAUAUCUCCCAGCUCAUAACCGAUAAUAUUGUCAUUUUUGAGGCAUUGGAAACAUAUGGGAGUCUACUUGUUCCUAAAAAAAUUUGAUGAACAUUGCAUGAACAGAUUUUGAGAUACACCAGAAUUAUUGCAGACUGCUCCAGAAAACAGCAAGAGAUAGAAACAUGAUUUUAACCAAACCCAACUAUUUAGUUCAUUAAUCCUUAUGCCUUAGGCCUAUAGAAUAAAUGAAAUUGUAGAGUAAAUCCACAAGAUCAUUACACUCAUUACAAAAAUCCAAAUCAAGCAUAAGCAUAAUAACAAACCAAACCAAGCAUCAAAAGCUCACACUUCGAGCAUUGACUCAACUUGCGGUACUAACGUUCUCUUCCUAUUAAGGGUGAAGAUCCUAUAAUUCUCUUUCAACUAUGUAAGUAGGUGGUAAGAGAAGAUUCUAAAAGCAUAACAAGCAAGGAGUGGGGUUGAGAACAAGUCUUUAAAAUAAGCAACAAGGUGAAGGUGAAUAGCAAUGGAAAGGAUAUAGUAUAGGAGAAAAUAUCAAGGUUUACAGAGCAAGGAUUUUAUAGAAUUUCAAAACCUUAAGAUGGCCAAUUUCUAACUAGGCUUGCGUCCGACAGUCAACAAAGCUUUGAUACCAAUUUGUAAUACCCGAUUUUAAGGACAAAACCAGAUAUACACCAUAUGUGAGUUUUAGAAGUCAAAUCUCACAUAUAGCUACAAAUAAGGGGUAAUAUCAAAAGACAAUGCAUAGAUAUAUAACGUACUUAGUAUAAAAGAGAUAACCUUCAGUAUCAAAUAGCAGAUAGACAACUCCAACUUUGGGUAUUAACUCCACUCUACAGGAUCCAACUGACUGGUUGAUCACAAGCCCAAACAACUCAUGAAGUGUGGGGGAAAUGCCAGCGGGCUGCGGGGGUUAACUGGGCUGCGGAAAGGAGUGGGCCGCGCGCGGGGUGAGGGGGGUUCGGCUCGGGUUUUUCUUUUUUUUAUUUUCUUUAAUGUUUUCUUUUCCAAAAUAAACCUUUUUCAAAUAAAAUUUUGAAUGCAAAUAAAUUCAAGUCAGAGGCAAACAAUACAAAAUAAAAUAUUCUUCGGCAUGAAUGCAUAAACAAGUUUCUAAUCUUAUGUUAAAUUUUAAUUUUGACAAAAAUAUUUUAUUUACUAGAUUAAAUGCCCACAAAAAUUGCUUAAAUAAUUCCAAUUAAAUCCUAUUAGUUCAAAAUCAAAUUUUGGGUGUGACAAGACAAGAGGAAGAUGCAACUCUCUAAGCUACAAUAAUGGAGAGAAAAAGCAUAUCACAAUGCCAAAAUUUAUAAAGAGAAAGUAAAAGAUGGCAUGACAAGAGAAUCAAGAAGAAGGAGUUCACCCUGGGUGAUAAGGUAUUACCUUUUAAUUCAAGGGUGAAGCUCUUCGGGCAUGGAAAGCUUUGAAGUAAAUGGGAAGGACUGUAUGAGUUGGUGAGUUCAUCAUCACAUGGAGCCGUCACACUUUGCAACAACGAAGAUACAUUAUUCAAGGUAAAUGGUCAAUGCCUUAAAUUAGUUUUUAGAGCCCAACAAUGAAUUAGAGGAAGUAGACAUAAUUACUUUCUUGCUCAAUUUGGAUAAUUGGGCCUAACCUAUUUUAUUUUUUAUUUAUCAGGGGAUGUCAACUUUUUCGAAUAGAAAAUAAUUAAAUAAGAUUAUGAAAAAGUUGAGUUGGAAAGGGUUGGAAGGGCCGGCGGCCACCAAAACCCUAGGGGCUCCAGCCCAAAGUCCGAGGCCACUCAUCGCCGCCUUUCUCCUUUACCAUCCUUAGACCUUCCUUGUUUGUAAAAAGCAUGUCUUCAGAAAUUUUUCCAUCUUUCAUCACGUUACCAUCCGAGAAUGUUUUUUCAGUCCCUAUAUAAACAACCCAUGCCUAUGGUCUAAUCUCAUCCCAUCAUAUCUUUUCUUUCCUCUUGCUUAGAAGCUUGCUACGCCUCUCUAUGCAGCCAUGGUUAGAGAAAAUUUAGAGAGGGGGAUGAUUCCCUAUGGGAUCGAUCUCAACACCAUCCCCAUAGAAUAACCCAAGUGCAAAGCCAUCAUUCCUAUCAAUGUAACUAUCCCUCUCACUACCAUUCCCCAAAGCCACUAUUGACUGUCCUUAAUGCCCACAUUUAACCGUCAACUAAUCAUGGAAAAGGACCUAUAUGCAACCAACAUCCAAAAUUAGGGUUUCAUCUGACAGAAUUCCACGAGUUUUGGUGUUUGUCUAUUUUUCCAGGGGGUUAUCAGGAAAUAUGGAGGAAAGGCCCACACGUCAGGUUUACAUAGAGAUAUUAACAUGUGCGCCAAUUUUCUAUCAUCUAGAAGACUCUAGAAGCCACGGGUACGAACGAGAGGUCGAGCGGGCCCGGGCGCAGGGCGCCCGCCCUGCCCUGGUGACCAAUCAGGGCAGGUCUCGCGGAUCGUGCUACACCGCCUUUGAGGAUCAAGGAAACCCGUGCGAUUAAGGUCGGUUUGAUCUGACGGCCCACGUUCAUUUGGAAGGGCUAUAUAAGCAGGCCCCCUGGCCCCUGGAGAACAUACCUCUUCUACAGAAUCAAAGUUAGGGUUCCAAUUAUUCAUCCAAGUAGAGAGGAUCCCUCUAGUUCAUCUAGUUCUAGUUCCAGUUAGUUCUAGUUGUAAUCUAGAAAAUAGGGAGAGAGAAGAGGAGAGCGGAGGAGGAGCCGGAUAUGUCGGAUCUUCCUCAACAUUGUACUUUUGUAGCAACUGGUUCGUUCUUCAUCGUUCUCCAAGUUCUUCAAUUCAUAAUUCCUGAGUUCUUUAUUACUUUUAUUUACAUUCAAGUUAUUUAUUGGAUUGCCUCUUGCAUCAAGUGCUCUAGUCUUUGAAACGCUAGAGUAGUAAGUAAUAGAUUAGACGUGGUGUUUAGUCUUGCAAUUACCUGGAAUUACACCCAAUUGUGCGGAUUGUUGUGGUAGCCCUAGGGUAGUUACAGCCCUAACAUUCGACGUAUUCCACCUCGUUCGGAUCGGUGUUUGUAGGACCGAAGUCAGAGCUUCCUAGCCCCCUUCUAAUCUCUUUCUGUGGUUAGUGUUUUGAUGUCCUAAAAUAAAUAAUAUUUGAAGUAAUUCUUGAUUCUUAGAUCAACUAGAGAACUCUCAGGAAACUUGCUCUCUUCCCACCAAAAAUAAUUAUAUAGUUAUCCUUGGGCGAUGUUGAAUCUUAAUUAGUACACUCACGUUCCCUGUGGAAAAUCGAUACUCUGGAUUACUCCCGAGUGAAAGCUACAUCAGUAUCCGUGCGCUUGCGGAUUUUUCUGUUUGCAUUUAAAAUACCCAACAAGCUUUCUAGCGCCAUUCCCGGACAACGGUACCUUGCUAGUUUCGAACCAAGUCGUCUGUGUAUCCUUUUUCUUUUCCUUUUUUUACCACACUCACCUUACCAUUUUCACCACACCACAUGGAUUUCACUCCAAACAUUAAUGAGCAUGGAAUUCAUUUCAUAGCAACUUUGUUUACUACAUGCUCAUAUGCAACAUCUUCCCAAUCUAUUGGUCUCUCCAACAUCACCACAUUCGAGAUCUCCAACCCCCUUUUCCUUUUUAUUUAUAAAAAUUUUAAAAGGGCGGUUGUCGAUGCAUAUGUCUAUAAUAAAUAUUGCAGACCUCGUUGAGUUGAUCUUGAUAUAGGUCAGCGUUGGAGGGGAAUCCACUUCGCCGACAUAAAUUGAUGGUUUCCCAAGGAUAAGCUUAGUGUCCUAAAAUGAGCACUGAUCAGAUCGUAACAUGAGCUUUUAAUUAUUUGCAACAUUACCUUGUGUAUUGAGCAUAUAAGGAUAAUUGUAAAAAAUUCCUUCGAGUAUUCUUGUCACUAACCUUUCCAGGAUUGGAGCAAGAAGAUCAGAUGAAUGACAAGCACAAGGUAUGUCCAACCAAUCAUCAUACAACAUUAAAUUAAAUUCAUCCAAACUUGAAUUUUGCAAAAUUCAAGCUUCGUGGAGUACUUUACAUAAAAAUAUCCUUUGCCAUGUUGCUAUGUUGGAUGUCCCUACCUUUGAGACAUGCUCAAUUUGUUAAAUACUAAUCACACUACUUCAUCUCCACUUGAGUAGAUCUCUAUAAAUGCUCUCAUGCUACCUUUAUUUGCUUUAGUAUAUGUCUAGGUUUGGAGUAGUUUCAUUUAUCUCUUAAUUAAGCUUGGUGCUUAGUUUAGGAAUGAUGAUCUUACUUCCAAGGGAUUUUAAAUUAAGCAUGGUGCUUAGGUUAAAAUGCCCUCCUAAAUCAAAUUAGACAUGGUGUCUAGGUUGAUUUUUGAGUCGAUAGUAUGCUAUAGUAGAUAUUGGAUAUUUUGUUGGACUAACCCCUACAGGAAAACUUUCAAUUUCGACCUGGUAAGUCCUGAGAUAAACUCACAUUGGAGACAAAGAGAGAGACACAUGAAGGUCAACAAUUUACACAAGGAGGGCAUAGCUCACAAGAGAUGAUCCAUGGAGGGUGCCACAAACACGAUGCACAACCGCUAAGAAAGGAAAGCUUCCACAAGGUGAUACUGUACCGUCACUCUUCAAGUAAGGUAACAUCUUAAGGUACUUGACUAUCACUUUUAUAAGCUUCUCCUUGGUUCUGGCAUUCACAUGAAUAAAAGAGACAAACAUAUAUGAUUUACAACUCUAGAUUAACCAACCCAAUCGAUUCAAUAUGUUUAGUCCUUCCACCUUUGUGAUCCCACAUGUAAUACCCGAUUUUAAGAACAAAACCAGAUAUGCACCAUAUAUGAGUUUUAGAAGUCAAAUCUCACAUAUAGCCACAAAUAAGGGGUAAUAUCAAAAGACAAUGCAUAAAUAUAUAGCGUACUUAGUAUAAUAGAGAUAACCUUUAAAAGCAAACAGCGGAUAGACAACUCCAACUUCGGGUAUUAACUUCUCUCUACAGGAUCCAACUGACUGAUUGAUCACAAGCCUAACACUUCUCCUAAGGUAUGGGGGAAAUAGCAAGAGUGAGUCCAUGUCGAACUCAACAAGUAAAGCAGCUAGAUUGUAUAGCUCCCACAAUCUCAUGAUCAAUGUGACAUAAAUAAUGUAAAGCAUUAAAUAAUAAAUAAUGAGCAUAUUUAACACAGGAAUCAUCAUCGUCGCAGCAAGAAUCCCCAAGGCCGCUCCUGACCGUGAGCUCGACUAGUAUACUAGUUUUUAACCCUCUGCAGAGGUUGCACAUCUUUACCCAUGAGUCAUGAUUUACCUUUUCGCCCGAGGUAGCUAGUCUCUUAACCCCCUUCCUAGGGAGGUCGGCAGGGAUCACUAUGAAGUCUUUCAAAGGUUCGUCUAACAAGUUAGGGCCGCUUGGUUUCAUUAGUCAGUCCAUGUGAUUCACCCGCAGGAAUCCACGGUUUGCUAUUCCCCAAUUGCACCACAACGGGUAAGCGCUAACGAGCUAGAAAAGUUACUCAUACUUAACUAAAGCCAGAGCCAUUAUAGCCCUCAUGGUUGCACUGUUGUCCCGGUUAUCACUUACAGAUAAAUCAUCAAGUGGCUAAAAAGUCAUUUUUAUCAUUUAUUACUUAACAUUAAUCUAGUCACACGAUCAUGAUCGCAAAAAUAAAAUCCAAAUGCUAUACUUGCCUUAAUCCAAUUGCUCUUGCUUAUCUCUUUGGUCCUGCUGGUCUCACUUGUCCAAGGCUAUGAUCUUGAUCAAUGAAGCACUCUUGUUCACCACGAAUUGCUCAUCGUCUAAUCUCGAUCAUCGAUCACACAAACAAUCGAAGAAAACAUACACGAAGCAAACAAGACUACAAUUAGAACAGUACACCAUUCAUAUAAAAACAGUACGAAAAGUUUAUAAAAUGAUUCUACGCAUCGCUACGAUUUCAUAGACGUAAAGAUCACGAAAAUCGGAGCUAAAACGAUGAAGUUAUGAAUUUUCUAAGAUUUCCUAUAGAUAAAUAAUUAAUUAAUUAGGGUCACGAAAUUAAAAAGUUUCAAACUGAGAAAACAGUGUUACUAACAUGUAGAGAUCAUGACUAUGAACCUAACGCAAUUUGAAUGGGUCAAUUCGGAGUUAAAAUGAAUAUUUUAUGGCUAAAACAGUUUCAGUGGCAAACUUGUAAUUAUAUGAAAACGUAUUUUGAAUUAACCCGGCACACUUUACGUCUUCCAACUCAGAAAGCGUAUUUCAGCAAACGUGCUUUGGACUGCGGGUUAAGCAUGAAAUCUUCCAGGGACACUUUAGAAAAAUGUUACCCGAAGAGGUAUGUUCUAAUCUGAUGCGUUGGUUUUAGAUCGGAUGGCACAGAAUCGAUGGAGAGUGAGAGAAGGGCAGUCCGGCGGCGCACAGGGAAUCCGGCCGGCGGCGUCAUGGCCGGAGAGGGUUGGAGCUUGCCGGAGUUCAUCGAAUUAGCGAUUUAGGGCGCUGUUUGAGAAACUAAUCGCACAGGGAGCAAGAGGAGAGCAAGGCGAACUUACCCAGGGGCUUAACACGGGCGGAGGGCGCUCGAGGUGGUCCGGCCACGUGAGACAGCGGGCGGCGGUGCUUCUGUGAAGUUCGGCGAACCAUUAAGCAUCAAGGGGAGAGAUAAAGAGAUGAUAGAAAACACAGGGAGGUUCGGGACCUUGUCACGAAGCUCGGCUUCCACUUGAUUUCGAUGGAGCGGCCGCGUAUGGCACGAACCACGGCGGCGGGUCUUGAAGCUCGUCGGCGAGAUCCGAAACGGAGCAAAACACAAACUUAGGGCUUUAGAGAGAAUGGAGAGAAAGAAAUCGGAGGCGGUGGAGGCUCCUGGGGACUUUAUAGCGCAUAUGGUGACCAAAUCCCGCACAAAUCGGGACGCGCGAGAUCAUCGAGCAGAGCCCAACUCCAUCACGGCAGGGAAGAAGGGGUUGUGCCUCUGACCUGUGGGUCCGAGCUGGCAGCGACUCAAAGACGCGGGCCCGGUUGGUCAGCCAAGGGAAAAAGAGGGGGGAGGAAUGCGCACGCUUGGGCCGGAAGAGGGAGCUGGGCUGCGGGGGUACUCUAGGCCGUUGCGCGGGGGAUUUGGGCCAUCAGGCCAGCAAGAGGGAGAGGAGGGGUUUUGUCUUUUUAUUUUCUUUUUCCCAUUUCUUUUAUUCCAAAGCCAUUUUCAAAACCGUUUUAAAAAUCGCUUUGAAUUAUGUCUGAAAUAUUUUUGAUCUUUGGUCAAAUCACUUAUCACAAUAAAAAUGAAUUUUCCAGCAUUAAUGCUAAACCAUAUUUCUAAUCCUAUGAUAAUUUUUAAUUUACAAAAAAAUAAUAUUAUUUCUCUAUAUUCCAUGAUCACAACAAUGCAAAAUUAAAUCAUUUCACCUAUUUGAAAAAUUAUAAAUUUUAGGGUGUUACACCACACUCCAAAUCAAAUGAGCUAAAAUGUUGCACACGCAAUCUUUGGAAGAUAUAUAAAAAAAACAUAUAUAUAGAUAGAUUAUCUUUCCAUUAGAUUGAGCGAUCUGAUCUGACAAAUGUUUUAAAUGCUACACUAAUGAUCUUAUUAUCCAUCAACUUUGUCUUCCUCACUACGCUUAAGGUUAGAGAAGAACAAAUACACUUUUGGUUCUGUUGGUGUUUUCCACCAAUAGGGCCCAUGCACUUGAUCUCUGCCUUGUCUCUAUGAGCAGGUACACUUCGAGCAAAAUAUGGAGGAGUUUUACAACUCCCAGACACCACCAAGUGAAGAACCUGGAUCUACGAGCACAAACACAGUGGAGAUACUGGACACUCAGGCAAUCACUGCCCUGAGAUGCUUGAGGACGUAAACUACAUCAACAACAACAACUACUACUACUACAACUGUCCUCAACAAAAUCAAGGUUGGAAUCAACAGAGGUCUAACUACUCAGAUAAUUAUUAAAGUAAUAAUUCUUACAAUAAUAAUAAUAAUUUUCUACCUCUGAGAGAGUUAGUGUCUAAUCAAGGAAAGCUAAUGGAUAAUUUCUCUACUGCCAUCAAGAAUCAAAUUAGCUUUAAUAAAAUGAUUGAAUCUCAAUUAAAUCAAAUAGUUGCUGCUGUUCCUGGUACUAACCUCGGUAUACCAUCACAAUCGGAAGGAUUAGAAUCUGCAAAUCUUGUAGACAUGUUUGAUGCAGGUAACUACUAGAGUAACCCCGUUGUGGAAGUAAUUACUGACCUUCUACCGGUCAAGAGAGGCAAUCUAGGAUGCCCCGUCAUCCCGAUCUCCAUCGGCAUGGUGGACUUCCCAGAAGCACUCUGCGACUUUGGCUCCAGCGUCAACAUUAUGCCCAGGCUUGCAGAUCGGACACUAAGUUUCCCAAAGGGAAUAUUGAAGAACCUUUGCAUCCGAGUUGGUACCUUGUACACCCCAACAGACUUCGUGGUGAUAGAAACUGGUACUGAUAAGAGGGCACCCAUCAUCCUAGGGAGGCCAUUCCUGAACACCUCGGGAGCUGUCAUCUACGCUAGUGCUGCCAAGAUCAGUUUCUACAUCAAUGGGAGGAAGGAGACGUUUUUUUUCAAGAACAAGACUACACAAGUCUCAGAGCAAUCCGGACAUGAACCAAGGAAGAGGACCAACAGGAGGAACAGGAACAAGCAAACGUGGACCGAGUUAGCUAAGAUGGUCACUGCAGCUCAGGGAGGUCAAGAUCGUCGACUUAAGUCACCGUUCCUGACCAAAAAGGACGACCCAGGCUAUUGAUAUGGGAGAAGACGAGUAUAAUCCACCCAUCAUCCUUAGCAGACUGUUCCUUGGCACUAUUAAAGCAAUCAUCUACAUUGGAAGCGAAGAAGUCCACACGCACUUCCCCUCUGAGAAGGUACGCCGCUAUUUUACUGACCUUAACUAUAUAGUUGAAGACUCUAAGCAGGUCAGGACAAGAAGAAGACGACGCAACCGCAACCAGAGGAGGCAAAUCAUCAAGGACGGAUGGGCAGACUAUGAAGGAGAAGUGGUAAGGUCUGAAGACAUAUAGCUUGAACAGAACUGUCCUGAGGAGACCGUAGCACCGAGUCCGGUGUGGAGAGAGAAGAUAGUUAUACACGAAGAAGAGGCUCCGCCGGAACCACCGACUACGCCAUCCAGCGAAUCCCAGGAUGACUGAAAACAAAAGGAGUCCCGUUCGGAGGACUUAAAAACGCCGAAUGCCGUGCCAAGAGGUAAACUUGGUAGUUGUCACCUUCCCUUCUAUUAUUUUUUUUCUUUAAAUAGCUUGUUUAGUUAAUCGGGUUCAUAAUAUCUUGAAAAGAAAAUAAAAAUGUUAAAAAACAGUAAGCCCCAUGUGAGUAUACGAGUGGCAUAAAACCCAUAAGUACAUUCACUAUGGUGGCAUAAAUAAAUAUUUUUUUUCUGCUCUAUAAAAAUGAAAAUAUAAAAAUAAGAUUGUGAUCCUAGCAAAGAGAGUAACAUUUAUUGAGGAGGCUCAAUAUGGUAAAGGCUAAGAGAUAUUUAUGCUAACACUUAACCAGUUCCACAAAGCUUUGUUGUCUAUUUGAGAUUCACAGAAUUCAAGGAUCAAAGAAGACUAGCCGACGGAGGACAUAGUAAUCGCUGUCAGGGUGCUGCCGACAUUCAAAUACACCUCUGCCACCUGCUAGCUAUAUCAGAAGAAAUUACGUCAAAAUCUAGCUUGGGGGAGAGCACUCCCAUUUAUCCAGCUAAGUGUUUCUACUCGCGUUUAUACUUUACUCAAAUAAUAAAAAGAUGCAUAAGCAAGAAAACCCAAAUAAAAAUUUUGUGAUUAUAUAUAUCUUUGCUUAGUUUGCUAAAUAAAUAAAUAAAGUGUCUAGGCCAAACUGAACUUAAAUGAUAAACUCUUACAUGGAUAUGAUAAAUAGUUGCUCUGCCAUGUACCUAGUUUUUAAGUUUGAGCUCUCUCUCAAGUUUAGACAUAACUGUUAUAAUUUAAACCUGCUCUAAACCUGAACCUGUGGGAAGAGUACUUGAUCUAAAGUCUAAGUCGUUAACGGAUAUGAUAUAGAAAGGUUGAGCUACUGUUUAUCUGUUCCUAGAGAUGCUAGAAUUCUGGAGAAUUUUAUCUUUAAAAAUCUUUAAAAUAUUGCAUGAUGAGUUCGUGUAUGAUGAGAGUUUAAAAUCCUACCACAACCAUAUAUACAUGCUUAUUAGACUAUGAACCAUAUUUACUUUUUACUGCUUAUGAGCAUUGAGUGUGGUCAAGUUGUGUAGGCCCUUAGGAGCUUGUCAUGCGGUUAAAAUCAAGAUUCACUUGCACGUUCACUCAUACAUGCUACUUCUACUCCGGAAGUAUGCAUCCACAUACAUCCACUCAUUUCCAUCUCCAGAUUCACCAAACAUUAUUCUACUCCUAAUCUGGGAGAGAAUAGCCAAAAACAUUUCCUUAUUUCUGUUUUUUCCUGUGAAAUUAAUGCUCGAGUUAUCUUGGUUAUUACCACUUGCUAUAUUAUUUAAGGAGAUGAGUGCUCUAAAAAAAGGGAGAAAGGAUACGAGAAAAUGAAAAGGGGCAAGUGCCCGGAACCUCGAAGAAAAAAAAGAUUGAGACGAGAGGUAAAAAUGGACAUGUGUCCGACAGUAGAAUUAGAGGUACAAGAUACCCGCCUGAGAGAAAAGAAAAAGAAAAUAUAGAGCAUCUCAUUCUCCCCAAAAAGCUUCAAAGUGCAAGAAAGGUAUGUAACCCUUUAAAAGAGCAAAAGUAGAAUUAGACUUUCACCGUUGUCAUCACCAUCAUCACCAUACACCAUUCACUCGCCACACAUGCACAUCUUUAUUUGACUUAUUGACUUGUUCUUCUAGAUCCAUGGUUUGACUAUGCAAUAAAUGUCUUGUAAGUAUGUAUUAUCUAUCUCCCACCUAUGAGCUCCAGAUUUCAAAACCUUAUGAGAGUAGGGUGAGAGAGAAGGCAAUAUCACUAUGCCUCAUACCAAAAAUACCACAUACAUUGAGAGAAGGCAUAUACCAUUAUUGCCUUGGAAAGGAUCCAGAAAUACCACAAAAGAGAGAUUUGAGAGAGAGUCAUACAAGGAAUCUCUGAGUUUUAUUUGAAAAUAUACAAAUACUCCAGAGCUAUAGUUAAUCAAAGAACAAGAGACAUGACGCUUGACUAGACUGUUCUAUCUUUUAACUCUCAAGACACAAGUGACGGUUGCAAGCCCCAUGGUGGAAGGUAAAAUGAGUAAGUUUUAAGUCUUAAGAGUUUACUCUAACUCAGAGAUGAGAUCUCGCUUGAACGCAUGCGUACUUUUAAGGCAUGAAACCAUUGUAGAAACUCUUGAGUCCAUCCUUGCUCAGGGACGAGCAAGAGGUAAGCUUAGGGGAGUUCGUUGACGGUCCUUAAGUACCAAAUAUAAUCAUCAAAUAAAUAAAGAAAAGGAUCCAAAUGCAACCAACACCCAGACUUAGGGUUUUAUCUGACAGAAUUCCACGAGUUUUGGUGUUUGUCUAUUUCUGUAGGGGGUUAUCAGGAAAUAUGAAGGAAAGGCCCACACGUCGGGUUUACAUAGAGAUAUUAAUGUGCCGCGUAAUUUUCUAUCAUCCAGAAGACUCCAGAAGCCACGGGAACGAACGAGAGGCCGAACGGGCCCGGGGACAGGGCGCCCGCCCUCCCCGCUUGGGCGCCCUCCUUGGUACAAGCACCAAUUACAGAAUGUAGUACACCAUUACAAAGUCCUCGUCGAGCUGAUCGAAAUACAUAUAUUAUUUGCUAUAUUUGGAGUUCGGAAUCAAGAGAUAUUGGUCCAUUAAGACCUAUGUGCAUUUUAAUGAGAUAUGGUGGAAAGUUUAGUACCACAUCGCGUGCUGAACCAAAAAGGCACAAAAGGAGGAGGCUAUAUAAGCAAGGCCCCUGGCCCCUGGAGGAGAACACAUCAUUAUAGAGUUGAGAGGUGCCCUCAAAGGAUAACCUUUCCUCUAUAGAGAAUUAGGGCUUAGCAUCCAAUGUGAGAGUAGAACUAGUUCUACUAGAUUGAGAGAGAUCGAGUGGAGGUGUAGAUCGGAGGAAGGCCGGCCUGUCGGUGUCUACUUCGAGGUUGUACCUACGGGAUCAAGUCUCCUAACCCGAGGCUUGCUCCUAGGAUUCUUCAGUAUUUCGACUUCUAAAUUCUAGUAAGUUCUUUGUUCUUAUUGUUCUUUGAUUUAUGAGUUUACUUUAAUCUCUUCUGGUUGAGUUUAGAGUAAUCAUUGCUAUCGUAAAUGUGGUGUUUGGGCUAGGGUACUCAUAGAUAUCCCCUGACUAGCUAGACCGUGGUAGUAGCGAGGAACGUGACAUUUCCGAGUUACCUUUGUAACCCACAUCAUCUUAGCAGGAUCGAUAGGGUUUAUAGGUGUGGGUCGAACAUCCUUUGCGGUGUCUAGAUUCCGUGAGCCUCCCCAAUAGAACAGUAGAUCAUCCUUACCAAGGUUAGAACGAGAGUGCGGUUGUAGUCUUCUCUAUUCAUCGCUCACAUCGAAUCACAUUGUUUGUAGCCUAAAGGGUAGUAGCAAUAGAUUUGGUUAGUCAGAUGCACGCUUUCUCCCAGUGGUAAAAAUAUAAAUACGAUACUCUAGAUAACCUCCUGGGUGAAAUGCUCACUGAUAUCCGUGCGCUUGCAGAUCAAUUCCUGAUGGCGUUAACAAAUAUCAACAAUGGUCACUGCAGUUCAAGCAGGUCAAGAUCGUCGACUUAAGUCACCGUUUUUGACCAAAAAGGACGACCCAGGUAUGCCAAGCAUCCAGUGCUCCAUUAAUGGAUACAACUUCUAGAAGACGCUUUGUGACACCGGGACAGGCGUCAACAUAAUGGCCGCAGUUACCUAUCAGCUCCUGUUCGGAACCAUGCCCCUAAAACCGACAUACAUUCAGCUCCAGAUGGCAGAUCAGACAUUCCGAAAGGUUGAAGCUAUAGUAACUGAUGUCCCUGUCAAAAUAGACGAUCAUUUUGUCCAUAUAGAUUUUCAAGUUAUUGACAUGGUAGAAGACGAGUACAAUCCACCCAUCAUCCUUGGGAGACCGUUCCUCAGCACCGUUAAAGCAAUCAUCUACAUUGGAACCGGAGAAGUCCACAUGCACUUCCCCUCUGAGAAGGUACGCCGUUAUUUUACUAACCCUAACUAUAUAGUUGAAGACUCUAAAUAGGUCAGGACAAGAAGAAGACAACGGAACCGCAACCAGAGGAGGCAAAUCAUCAAGGACGGAUGAGCAGACUACAAAAGAAAAGUGGUAAGGUCUGAAGACAUACAGCUUGAACAGAACUGUCCAGAGGAGACCGUAGCACCGAGUCAGGUGUGGGGAGAGAAGAUAGUUAUACACGAAGAGGAGGUGCCGCCGGAACCGCCGACUACGCCAUCCAGCGAAUCCUAGGACGGCCGAGAAAACGGAGAGUUGCGUUUGGAGGACUUAAAAAAACCGAACGCCUUGCCAAGAGGUAAACUUGGUAGUUAUCCUUUUUCUUUCAAUUAUUUAAAAUAGUUUGCUUAGUUAAUCAGGUUCAUAUCAUCUUGAAAAGAAAAUAAAAAUGUUAAGAAUAGUAAGCCCCAUGUGAGUAUGAUCAUGGCAUAAAACCCAUAAGUACAUUCAAUGUGGUGGCGUAAAAAUAAAAUAAAUAUAUUCCUGUCCUAUAAAAAUAAAAAUAUAAAAAUUAAUUUAUGAUGCUACUAAAGAGAGUAACAUUUAUUGAGGAGGCUUAAUAUGAUAAAGGCUAGAUAUUUAUGCUAACACAUAACUAGUUCCACAAAGCUUUGUUGUCUAUUUGAGCUCUACAGAAUUCAAGGAUCAAAGAAGACUAGCAGAUGGAGGACAUCCUAAUCGCUGUUAGGGUGCUGCCGACAUUCAAAUACACCUCCGCCGCCUGCUAGCUACAUCAGAAAAAAUUACGUCAAAAUCCAGCUUGGGGGAGAGCACCCCAUUUAUUCAGCUAAGUGUUAUACUCACGUUUAUACAUUACUCAAAUAAUAAAAAGAUGCAUAAUCAUAAAACCUAAAUAAAGAUUUUGUGCUUAUAUAUAUAUAUAUAUAUAUAUAUAUAUAUAUAUAUCUUUGCUUAGUUUGCUAAAUAAAUAAAUAAAUAAAGUUUGCUAUAAACCCUGUCACACCCACUUUCAAGGAAGAAUUUGAAUGCAUAAACUUAUGUGCGCCCAGAGAUCAAUCACACACAUAAGUCACAAAUUAAAUACCAUCAUCGCAGUGUUUACAACAAACGUAGUUAUUACAUCACAAAGUCUGGUACAACAGCAGAAAUAUAAAUAAGAUAAUCUAAGAUAACUAUCUCAUGUCCCUUACACAGGGAAGGUCUACUGGUGAAGCACAAGUCUAAUAGUCCUCCGGGUAGUCCUCAUAGCUACCACCAUCUGUUACCCAUCCGGGAUUUUUAUCCAAAGAAAAGAAAUAUUUAAGCGUGAGUACAUCUCGUACUCCACAAGCAUAGCAUGAGGAUUUAUGAGGCUCAAACAGGCUAGACUAGGUUUACUGCAUCAGCUUUUUAGUAGGUCAGUAUUUUAUCAUUAACUAUUAUUAGUUUAUGCUUAAGCUCCCAAAUAUCCCAUAUGAUCAAUUAUUAGAACCAUAGUAAGUCAUUAGGUCACAUUAAAGCAUAAUUAUACAUCAUCAUGUACCAUAAAGCCAUCAGUAACCAGUUAUUCUGUGAGUUUUCUGGGCCGCUCAUGACCGUGAGCACGGCUGUUAUAACAGUUAUACACUCUGCAGAGGUUGCGCACUUUCACCGUGAGUCGUGUUGUCCAUAUGCCCGAGCUUCGUCGACCCCCAAACACUACCAAGGUGUGCGGGCAGGGUACACUAUGAAGCCUUCCAUAGGCCCAGUUAGGGCCGUGAGGUUUUCUCGGCAGGCAGAUGUAGAAAACCUCCCUUUUCUAUGACACAUUUCCAUCGCGGCUAUACUCAUAGAAACAGGGGCAGCACUACACCCAAAGUGGCAAGCCCCUCUUGCGCCCUUUCGGGUAACCUCUAACGAGUUAGAAAAAGAUCCUAUUACUGAGCUAAAGUUAGAGCCAUGUGACUCUCCCGGUUGCACUGUAAGUCCCAGCUUUUGCCGACAGAUAAGUCCUUACGGAGGGUCUAGGACAACAUGACCAACGGUCAUUUGUACCAUAGCCCUAUGUUCCAUUAUCAUGUUUAAUCAAUUAACCAUGGUUCCAUCACUGAUUUCAGAUCAUAUAUAAUUGGAGUUAGAAGACUAGCACUUCUACCCAUAUGUAAUAAAAACCCUUGGGAACAAGGUAAUUGUCAUCAACAGCUAGGAUGUCCUUAUAGUUAGCAAUAUUAUACACAAGCAGGGUGAAAUGCUUAAAAAUGAGUAGGUCAACAAGGUAGGCCCAUGCUAUACUUGCCUUGGUUCACGUACUCCUGCUGGUCUUGCUGGUCCUGCUGGUCCCCAAAGAGCUCUGGACUCCCUAAAUACUCCUCACCGUCUGGGCUCGAUCGACACAUCACAAUCAUCACACAUACCAAGACAGACAUGCAAGAGAACAAUUCCUAAAGUUAGAACAGUACACCAGCAGUAAAUAAAUUAAAUAAAAGUUUUCAAAAAUCAUCUAAGUGCUGCUACGAUCACUUCAACGUGAAAUUCACGAAAAACGGACUUACGACGCGAAAGUUACGCUUUUAACGGGAUUUCAACAGCAAUCUAUGGACUUGUCAUUAACUAGGAAAUCUAACAGUGGUAGACCUAAGCAACAGUGGUACCAAUGUGAAGCUUACGAAAUUACGAAACUAACGCAACUUGAACGGAUCGAUUCAGAGUUCAAACGACAAUUUUAUAGCUAAAACAAUGGGGUGGAAAUUCUGUAAAUAAAGUAGAGUCUAAACGAAUUUAAAUAAAUGAAUUAAAUCCUAGAAAAUCCCUCUGGCCGAGGACUGCGCAUGCAAAAUCAAGAUUUUAGAGAGGCUCUUUAACAAAGUUGCCCCCGAAGGGGUAUGGGGCUCUCUGGGCUAUCAGAUCGCGAACGGACGGCCGAGAUUAAGACGCAGAGAUGAGAGAGAGGGGGGGGAGCGGUGCGCCGGCCGGAGGGGAGGAAGGGCGCGGCGGCAGCCAUGGCUGCGGUGAGCAAGCUCGCCGGAGCAGCCCGCGCAGGCACUACGGAGCCCGAUUUUGCGAACCAACUACACUGAGAGAGAGAGAGGAGGUCGCGGCGAACUCGGUUCCAUCCUUUGCGCGGCCGAGGAGAGCUCGCCGGAGCACGCGGCCAGGGGGCUAGGAGUCACGAAAAUGCAAUGGAUUCGGUCGAGGAGAAUGCGGGGAGAGAGAGGAAGCUCACUGGCACGACGAAAACGGCGAGGACGGCUCGGAACGGCGGCUUCACGCGGUGGUCGCCGGCGGCGUUUUUUUGCGCAAACCGAGAGGAGCAGAGGCAAGGAGAGAAGAAAAUGGGGAGGGGGGAGAAAGCUCGGGCGUGUGGGGGCUAUCCAACUUGAAGCCGAGGCGAGGGGAGGGGAGAACGUGGGAGCGGGGGCUUCGGCCUGGGCAGUUUCCAACCGAGAGAGAUGAAGCGAACGGCGGUUUGGGGGAAGGGAUGAACCUGACGGGUGGGCCCCACCCGUCAGCAUGCUAGAGAGAGAGAGGGAAGGGAGGGGGAGGCGGCUGGCACGCGGCCCAGGAAGGGGGCGCGGGGCGCGGUUUUGGGCCAGAAUGGCCGAAAAGAAGGAGGGGGGAGAGAAAGCUUUUUCCUUUUUAUUUUCCAAACAAAUUUUUCAAACUCUUUUCCAAAUGAAUUUUUGAAUUCAAAUUCCUUUGUUCAAAACCAGUCAUCACAUAAAAGAAGUGCACCAGCAUGCAUGCAACAAAAAUAUUAGUCUAAACUUAUAUUAAGUUUUAAUUUCCCCUAAUUUUUUUAUUUUCCUAUAUUGAAAAUGCUCACAAAUUUAUUUAAUAAAGUCAAAUUCAUCUAUUUUUAAAAGAGCCAAAUUUUGGGUGUUACAAUUCUACCCCCCUAAAAAAAUAAUCUCGUCCUCGAGAUUGGGUGAUGCUUACUCAAACAGUUGUGGAUACGACUUUCUGAAAUCCUCUUCUCUUUCCCAGGUGGCUUCAUCUUCGGUAUAGCGGUUCCACUGUACUUUACACAUCUUUAUGGUUCUGCUUCUUGUAACUCUGUCUGCAGUUUCCAAGAUCUUUAUCGGGUACUCUUCAUAUGUGAGAUCUUCUUUAACGGUCAACUCUUCUAUUAGAAUCUGCUCUUCAGGUACCCGCAAACACUUCUUCAACUGAGAAACAUGGAAUACAUCAUGUACACCUGACAAGCUCUCAGGAAGUUCUAACUGAUAGGCUACUUCUCCACGUCUCGCAAGAAUCCUGAAAGGUCCGACAUAUCUUGGUGCUAGCUUACCCUUCACAUUGAAUCUCUUCACACUCCUCAUUGGAGAUACCUUCAGAUAUACAAAAUCACCCUCUUUGAAGCUCAAAUCCCUUCUUCGGGUGUCGGCAUAACUUUUCUGUCUGGACUGAGCCACUCUUAGAUUGUUCCUGAUCAUCCUCACUUGUUCUUCAGCACUUGUUAGGAUGUCUGGUCCAAACACCUGUGUCUCACCGGUUUGAUUCUAGAACAAAGGUGUCCUACACUUGCGUCCAUACAAAGCUUCAAAUUGUGCCAUCUUGAGACUCUUCUGGUAGCUGUUGUUAUAGGAAAACUCAGCAUACGGCAGACUUUUGUCCCAACUGGUACCAUACUACAGAGCACAAGCUCUAAGCAUAUCCUCCAAGAUCUGAUUAACUCUUUUUGUCUGCCCAUCAGUUUGGGGAUGAUAAGCAGAACUAAAGUUCAGCUUAGUUCCCAAGGAUCUAUGUACUUUAUACCAAAAGUGCGAUGUAAACUGAGUUCCUCGGUCGGACACGAUCUUCUUUGGAACUCCGUGUAAGCACACAAUCCUUUCCAUGUACAGAUCGGCUAACCUUGCCCCCUUGUAGUUGGUUUUGACUGGUAAGAAAUGUGCAACCUUAGUGAGUCGGUCUACUAUUACCCAAAUCGAGUCAUACCCAUGUUGAGUAUGUGGCAACCCGGUAAUAAAGUCCAUACCGACUUCUUCCCAUUUCCAUUCGGGUAUCUGCAUUGGUUGCAACAACCCUGCAGGUCGUUGGUGCUCAUCUUUCACCCUCUGACAUGUGUCACACAAAGCAACAUGCUCUGCUACAUCCCUUUUCAAUCCAUACCACCAAUAUCUCUCCUUUAGGUCCAAAUACAUCUUGGUACUCCCAGGGUGUAUUGAAUAAGCAGAGUCAUGCGCCUCACGCAGAAUUAUGUCUCGGAUAGCCUUCACUUCAGGCACACAUAUCCUUUUCCCAAACCAUAGGGUACCAUUCUCAUCUAUCCUGAAGCCUGGUGCCUUUCCAAGCACUACAUUAUCUGCUAUCUCUUUUAAUUUCUCAUCCUCCAACUGACUCUUACAUAUCUCUUGUUCCAAUGUUGGCUCUAUCUCUAGACCCAUGGUAUGAUUCACAAAAGCCUAUGUUGAGGUAUUCUAUUUUGGCUCGCAACUCAGCUGGAAUAAAUGUUAGCUGAAGUCUGUUGACAUAGCUUUUCCUACUAAGUGCAUCUGCAACUACAUUUGCUUUCCCAGGGUGAUAAUGCACUUCCAGGUCGUAAUCCUUGAUCAGCUCUAACGAACGACGUUGCCUCCGAUUCAGGUCUGACUGGGUGAAGAUAUACUUUAGGCUCUUAUGGUCUGUGUAAAUAUCACACUUGUGACCAAUCAAGUAAUGCCUCCAGAUUUUUAAGGCAUGGACCACUGCGGCUAGCUCCAGAUCAUGAGUAGGGUAAUUCAACUCAUGUUUCCUCAACUGCCUAGAUGCAUAGGCCACUACUCUUCCUUCUUGCAUGAGCACACAACCUAAACCUAAGCGAGAAGCAUCACAAUAGAUGGAGAAGCUCUUGCUUAAGUCAGGUAAGGUCAACACUGGAGCUGUGGUCAACCUCUUCUUUAACUCCUCAAAGUUAGCCUGACAUUUGUCUGACCAAACAAACUGAGCACUCUUCUCUAAUAAGGCCGUCAUGGGCUUAGCAAGUUUAGAGAAUCCUUCAAUGAAUAUCCUAAAAUAUCCGGCCAAUCCCUAAAAGCUACGAAUUUCACUCACAUUGGUCGGGGGUUUCCAAUUCAACACAUCUUGCACCUUUGCUAGGGUCCAUGGCUAUCCCUCCAUUAGAGACUACGUGUCCCAGAAAGGAGACCUCCUUUAGCCAAAACUCACACUUGCUUCUUUUGGCAUAUAGCUUAUGUUCUCUAAGCUUUUGCAAGACUAGCCCCAGAUGCUCCGCAUGUUCCUCUUUAGUUUUGGAAAAGAUGAGUAUGUCAUCAAUGAACUCCACUACAAACUUAUCCAAGAACUCCAUGAAACAUACCUAGUAGUAAAGGCUAUCCUAGGUACAUCCGAUGCACGAAUUUUCAGUUGGUGAUAACCGGAUCGAAGGUCUAUUUUUUAGAACACACAAGCACCUUUUAACUGAUCAAACAGGUCAUCAAUUCUGGGCAAAGGGUACUUGUUUUUGAUGGUUACUUCAUUUAGCGACCGGUAAUCCACACACAUCCUCCUGGUACCAUCUUUCUUAUCGACAAAGAUAACGGGGGCUCCCCAAGGUGAUGAACUAGGACGAAUAAAACCCUUCUCUAGCAACUCCUUAAUUUGUUUCUUAAGUUCCUCUAGUUCAUUCACUCCCAUUCUAUAAGGUCUUUUAGCUAUAGGUGCAGUUCCAGGUAAAAGUUCAAUAAGGAAUUCAAUGUCUCGGUCAGGUGGCAUACCUGGCAAUUCAUCAGGGAACACAUCAAGGAAGUCAUCCACCACUUGGUUCUCCUCAUUGACUUCAUCAAUCAACUGGUUCACGGUAGCAGUUGCAGGUGCUUGCACUGCCACUUCUACACAAAUUCUAUCCCCUUUAGGUGAUGUUACUAUCACAGACUUUUCCUGGCACUGAAUCACUGCCCGAUGUUGUUUCAUCCAAUCCAUCCCAAGGAUAAGGUCAAUACCAGAAGUUCUUAGCACAAUGGGGUUUACUUUGAACUCUACCCCCUUGUAGUUGUCCGGAGGCAUACAACACCUUCUCCAUCUCAUUGCACUGAGCAAUGUUCAGCUGCUUCUCCACAGCUCUUAACAAAUCAUCAGCUUCUAAAGGGUCACUAGCAUGUGUAAAAAUAGGAGGACGUCCCUUCAUGAACUCUUCUCUCUUAUCGCGAACCUAGACCGGUGGUGGUACGACGGCGGGCUGGUGAUCCACACGAUCCAUCAUAGUUUGCAUCAAUUGAGCUUGAAUCAACAUGAGCUGCUCCACUGUCACAGGCUGUGGUGGUGGCGGUGGAUCCACCGGUGCGCCACAGCCACGUCCACGGCCACGGCCACGACCUCGACCACGGCCUCUUCCUCCUUCAUCAGCCAUCUUUUUCCAACAAAGGAAUAAGCUUUUAGAGGUCUUUCCAUAAUUAUAAACUGAUUGUAAUAUCAAAUAAGCUUUGCUGAAAUUUUUCUGGACAAGAUGCAAAAUAAGCAGUGCAGUAUUUAACUCAGAACUCGAGCUUCUGAGAUCCAACAGAGGCAUGCCAUACAUGUUUGGAAAGCUUAAGAAAUUUUCUACAAUUUUUGUUCAGACCACUUUUACAGAUUCGGAAAUUAUCUUGAUCAAGAACAGGGGUAAAGAGAAUCUGUUCUGGGUUCUAGUCUGCGCUGUAGUCCCAGAUUGUAACAAGGAUAUCUCCCAGACCCGAGCAGGUUUUGACAUGGUUCCAGUUGCAAAUGAGAGAUACCGCAGUCUAGUUUCCUCCACAAAACUUUCAGAAUUUUUGGACGUACCACUUCAGAGAUAAAAGUUAAACAUCACAGGCUGCUCCAGAAAAACAGCACAGCAACAGCAGAAUAUACCAACCCAACUAGGCAUUCGAUAAUUAAACUUAAGAUAACAGAAGUUUGUAGAUAAAUCCACAACCUUCCAGCAGUCAUUACAAAGAUUCAAAUCAUGCAAAGACAUAAACCAAUUCAACGGACACAUCAAUUGUUCACAAACACCCCAAACUCAACUGACACAACGGGACUACGAAAUAAAACAACUAUGGCAUCCUAGGCCUAUGGUGCGUCGCCGGAGAUACUAGGAGGUGCGGUCUUCUUGUAGAGCGGGGGCAACUCAAGCUGCUCUCUAAGGCUGUCAACCAUCUCCUGGAAGCGAUCUAGGGAAUCCUGCUGGUCACGUAGCUCCUCCUGUAGAUCAUCAUUGGCCAUCUGCAGGACAUGCAUAUGCCUAACAGUUGCAUCCAAGGGCGUGUCAACAUCCUGUGGGUUCUCGAUGGACCAAGUACCAAUAGUAGAAUCAUGGCGAGGGAGGUACUUGUAUUGAUCUGCUCUCAUGGCCUCAUAGCGAAGGCCAUGGUAGUGAGUGUAAGCCAUCUGGGAGGCGUCCUCCAUGCUGUCCUGUGCCUCAGCUCGCCUAGCAAUGUGACCAUGAAUGCUCUCUACCAUAUAGUUGUCAUGUGUCUCAUUCCCCACUGUGAUGGUAAGAUCCGACCUCCAGUGUGUGGCCUCAUAGGGGUGUGUGUACUCUGCACAACAAUACCUGAUGGCAAUCUCCUUAUCAGCAUAGUAAGUAUCCAACAUCUCCCUAAGCAAGUUGUGGAAGUAGGCUGUCUGUGAAGGAUACUUGUAGUGGAUGGUGGUAGUCCAUCCUAGGUCUUCUUCCUCAGGACCAUCUAGAGACACUAUCUCUGGUACAGCAGGGGCAGCAGGAGCAACUGGUGAAGCUGGUGGUGUAGGUGCAAUAGGUGCCACUGGAACAGCUGGUGGCGUGGGUGCAGUGGGUGGAACAGGUGCAGCUGCUACAGGAGAGUCCAUCCAGUUUUCAUCAUCAUCAUCCACCUCUGUCAUCAUCGCUGGGUCCUCUUCAUCCAUAGGGACAGUCUCGUCGUCGAAGAUGUCCACCACUGGCUGGGACGACUAGGGCAUGAACUGAGAGAUGUAGCUCCUGGUGCUGGCGCGGCGAGAACUCGUGACAGGCGGCAUCUAUAAAUUUUAUUUUAAGAUUAGAUCAACAUUUUGGCAAUAGAAUAAGUGAUAUAAGCAUAAUAAAUUUUAUAAAAUAACAAAAGUAAGGUAGAAAGCAUGAAAUAAAUAAAACAAAGAUACUAUAUCGACCAUUGCUACCUAGGCUUGCGUCCUACAGUCAACACGGCUCUGAUACCAAUUUGUCACACCCAAUUUCAAGGAAGAAAUUGAAUGCAUAAACUUAUGUGCGCCCAGAGAUCGAUCACACACAUAAGUCACAAAUUAAAUACCAUCAUCGCAGUGUUUACAACAAACGUAGUUAUUACAUCACAAAGUCUGGUACAACAGUGGAAAUACAAAUAAGAUAAUCUAAGAUAACUAUCUCAUGGCCCUCACACAGGGAAGGUCGACUGGUGAAGCACAAGCCUAAUAGUCCUCCGGGUAGUCCUCAUAGCUACCACCAUCUGUUACCCAUCCGAGAUUUUUAUUCAAAGAAAAGAAAUAUACAAGAGUGAGUACAUCUCGUACUCCACAAGCAUAGCAUGAGGAUUUAUGAGGCUCAAACAGGCUAGACUAGAUUUACUGCAUCAACUUUUUAGUAGGUUUUAUGCUCAAGCUCCCAAAUAUCCCAUAUGAUCAGUUAUUAGAACCAUAGUAAGUCAUUAGGUCACAUUAAAGCAUAAUUAUACAUCAUCAUGUACCAUAAAAGCCAUCAGUAACCAGUUAUUCUGUGAUUUUUCCAGGCCGCUCGUGACCGUGAGCACGGCUGUUAUACAUCAUCAUGUACCAUAACACUCUGCAGAGGUUGUGCACUUUCACCGUGAGUCGUGUUGCCCAUAUGGCAGGGUACACUAUGAAGCCUUCCAUAGGCCUAUUCUAACCAGUUAGGGCCGCGAGGUUUUCUCGGCAGACAGAUGUAGAAAACCCCCCUUUUUCAUGGCACAUUUCCAUCGCGGCUAUACUCAUAGAAACAGGGGCAGCACUACACCCAAAGUGGCAAGCCCCUCUUGCGCCCUUUCGGGUAACCUCUAACGAGUUAGAAAAGAUCCUAUUACUGAGCUAAAGUCAGAGCCAUGUGACUCUCCUGGUUGCACUGUAAGUCCCAGCUUUUGCCGACAGAUAAGUCCUUACGGAGGGUCUAGGACAACGUGACCAACGGUCAUUUGUACCAUAGCCCUAUGUUCCAUUUAUCAUACUCAUGUUUAAUCAAUUAACCAUGGUUCCAUCACUGAUUUUAGAUCAUAUAUAAUUGGAGUUAGAGCAGUAGCACUUCUACCCAUAUGCAAUAAAAACCCUCGGGAAUAAGGUAAUUAUCAUCAACAGCUAGGAUGUCCUUAUAGUUUGUAAUAUUAUACAGAUGAAGGGUGAAAUGCUUAAAAUGAGUAGGUCAACAAGUUAGGGCCAUGCUAUACUUGCCUUGGUUCACGUACUCCUGCUGGUCUUGCUGGUCCUGCUGGUCCCCAAAGAGCUCCGGACUCCCGAAAUACUCCUCACCGUCUGGGCUCGAUCGACACAUCACAAUCAUCACGCAUACCAAGACAGACAUGCAAGAGAACAAUUCCUAAAGUUAGAACAGUACACCAGCAGUAAAUAAAUUAAAUAAAAGCUUUCCAAAAUCAUCUGCGUGCUGCUACGAUCACUUCAACGUGAAAUUCACGAAAAACGGACUUACGACGCGAAAGUUACGCUUUUAACGUGAUUUCAACAGUAAUCUAUGGACUUGUAAUUAACUAGGAAAUCUAAUAGUGGUAAACCUAAACAACAGUGGUACCAAUGCGAAGCUUAUGAAAUUACGAAACUAACGCAACUUGAACGGAUCGAUUCGGAGUUCAAACGACAAUUUUAUAGCUAAAACAAUACGGUGGCAAUUCUGUAAAUAAAAUAGAGUCUAAACGAAUUUAAAUAAAUGAAUUAAAUCCUGGAAAAUCCCUCUGGCCGAGGACUGCGCGCACAAAAUCAAGAUUUUUGAGAGGCUCUUUAACAAAGUUGCCCCCGUAGGGGUAUGGGGCUCUCUGGGCCAUCAGAUCGCGAACGGACGGCCGAGAUUAAGACGCAGAGGUGAGAGAGAGGGGGGGAGCGGCGCGCCGGCCGGAGGGGAGGAAGGGCGCGGCGGCGACCAUGGCCGUGGCGAGCAAGCUCGCCGGAGCAGCCUGCGCAGGCGCUUCGGAGCCCGAUUUCGCGAACCAACUACAUUGAGAGAGAGGAGGUUGCGGCAAACUCGGUUCCAUCCUUUGUGCGGCCGGGGAGAGCACGCGCGGCCCGCUCCAUGGCCGGCGGCCAUAGAGCUCGCCGGAGCACGCGGCCAGGGGGCUAGGAGGAGAAUGCAAUGGAUUCGGUCGAGGAGAAUGCGGGGAGGGAGAGGAAGCUCACUGGCGCGACGAAAACGGCGAGGACGGCUCGGAACGGCGGCUUCGCGCGGAGGUCGCCUGUGGCGGUUUUCUGCGCAAACCGAGAGGAGCAGAGGCAGGGAGAGAAGAAAAUGGGGAGGGGGGAGAAAGCUCGGGCGUGGGGGGCUAUCCAACUUGAAGCCGAGGCGCGGGGAGGGGAGAACGUGGGAGCGGGGGCUUCAGCCUGGGCGGUUUCCAACCGAGGGAGAGGAAGCGGGUGGCGCUUUGGGGGAAUGGAUGAACCUGACGGGUGGGCCCCACCCGUCAGCCGCCAGAGAGAGAGACGGGGAAUGGAGGGGGAGGCGGCCGGGCUGUGGCCCAGAAAGGGGGCGCGGGGCACGGUUUUGGGCCAGAAUGGCCGAAAAGAAGGAGGGGGAGAGAGAAAGCUUUUUCCUUUUCAACGGAAGAGCCAAAUUCAUCUAUUUUUAAAAGAGCCAAAUUUUGGGUGUUACAAACCCUAAUGAUAAGCUCUCACAUGGAAAUGAUGAAUCGUUGCUCUGCCAUGACUAGUACUCAAAAUUGAAAUCUCUCUCAAGUUUAGGCAUGACUGUUAUUAAUUAAGCUUUGCUCUAAACCUGAACUUGUGAGAAGCGUACUUAUCUAAAGUGUAAGUCGUUAACGGAUACGAUAUGGGAAGGUUGAGCUACUGUUUAUCUGUUCUUAGAGGUGCCAGAAUUCUGGAGAAUUUUAUCUUUGAAAAUCUUUAAAAUGUUGCAUGAUGAGUUCCUGUAUGAUGAGAGUUUAAAAUCCUACCACAGCCACAUAUACAUGCUUAUUAGACUAUGAACCAUAUAUUUACUUUUUACUGCUUAUGAGCAUUGAGUGUGGUCAAGGUGUGUAGACCCUUAGGAGAUUGCCAUGUGGUUAAAAUCAAGAUUCACUUACACAUUCACUCAUACAUGCUGCUUCUACUCCGGAAGUACGCAUCCACAUACAUCCACUCAUUUCCAUAUCCAGAUUUACCCAAAAUUAUUCUACUCCUGUCUAGGAGAGAAUAGCCAAAAACAUCCUAUCCCUGUUAUUCCCCAUGAAAUAAAUGCUCGAGAAAUUUUGGUUACUACCACUUGCUACAUUAUUCCACGAGGGUGAGUGCUCUGAAAAAAAGUGAAUAUGAGGAAAUAAAAAGGGGCAAGUUCCCGAAACCUCAAAAAAAAUGAGACGAGAGGUAAAAAUGGACAAGUGUCUGACAAUAGAAUUAGGGGUACAAGAUACCCACCUGAGAGAAAAGAAAAAUAAAAUAUAGAGCAUCUCAUUCCCCUCAAAAGCCUCAAGUGCAAGGAAGGUAUGUACCCCCUCAAAAGAGCAAAAGUAGAAUUAGACUUUCACCAUUAUUUUCACCAUUAUCACCAUUCAUUCGCCACACAUGCACAUCUUGAUUUGACUUAUUCACUUGUUCCUCUGGAUCCAUGGUUUGACUAUGCAAUAAAUGUCUUGUAAGUAUGUAUUAGCUGUCUCCCACCUAUGAGCUCCAGAUAUCAAAAACUUAUUAGAGUAGGGUGAGAGAGAAGGCAAUGUCACUAUGCCUCAUACCAAAA
rnacentral:lncRNA from 1 species